rnacentral:lncRNA from 1 species
UAUCACUGGCCAAGUUAUAAUUGUGGAUGGAGGACACACUGCGAAUGGCUUCUAAGUUUUACCCAAAUAAUAAAAACUAAAUAAAUGCUUUGUGGUAUCCUAAAUUAGACUAUAUAUAAUUUAAUAGUUGAUUUUAUUUAUAUAAAGUUCCAACUUGUAGGGCAAUCAGAUAUAUCUAUGUAGUAUCUUUAUUCCCUUAUGGGGAUAAUGACAAAAUAAAUAAUAAUAUUAAUAAAUUAUUUUUUAUAAUUUUAUUACAAACUUUCAAUUUCGAAAAUUUUUUGCAUAGAAUUUAAAAUUUUCAUAAUAUUAUUGUGAAGUUACCUUUAGUAUAUUAUGUUCUUUACCAUAAGCUGCUGUUCUAGGAAACAGUAGAUAGUGCCAAAGGUGUUUGUCAAAAUUUUCUUUGCUUUCAAUUGAUGGAAAACAAAACACAAUGGAAGCCAUGAGAUCGCAUAUAUAUAAUAUACAAGCAAACCACAGUGCUACAGAAAAUAUAAAAUCAAAGUUAUGAAAUCAUAAAAUCUUCUAAGCGAAAGAAAUCAGCACCGAUUUCGAUUUUUCUUCCAUGCAAUAGCUUUUGCGCGAACAGCUUCUGCUCUACCAAAAACAAACUAAUUUUCUCUGUAAUCUCCUGUUGUGUGACCUAAGCUGUUUCUUUAGAACUAUUUGUGUGGGUAGACGGCUAUUGAGAGAGGAAAAACGAAAUAUGGAAGACUAACGUCUAUGUUUAGUCUAAACGUCUCUUAUAUAUUUUCCUAAAAUUAACAUUAACAAAAACGAUAUAUAUAUAUAUAUAUAUAAUCACGUUUUGCAAUAUUUAUAUUAAAUUUAAUUAACCACUUAAUUAGCUUUAAAUAAUGCAGGCACAAUAGAGACCCACGGGAAUAAAAUUAAUGAGGCUACCUUAUAAUAAUAAUAAUAAUAAUAAUAAUGUAUUUAUACAACCUGUAAAACAUUAUUAUAACAAAAUUAUGAAUUAUUCCACUAAAAAUUUAUAAUUGAACUCCUCAUUAAUUUUGAAUCUCCUAAUAUUAAAAUAUACAAACUACCUAUGUUAAGAUUACAGACACUUGUUAAUUAAAUUAAAUUACCGACUAUUUUAUUUAAUUGGCAAUUUAAUUCCUCAAGAAUUUCACUUAACUUAUUUCAUGUGUCGCAUUACAAAAUCCACCUAUAAAGUUUUACAUAAUGAAAACUUAUAAGCUUCUGUAGGGGAAUCAUCAAUCUCUAUACCGAGACAUGGACUCUAUCAAUAAAUUUAUAUUUGACAAAUGCAUAUUGUUAUUGUCCAACUCAGUGAGUUUAUUGUUCCAUGAUGAAACUUACCCUUUUAAUGAAUCAAAGAAAUAGACAAACAUACAUUGCUUAUAACCAUUGUUAUGAAAAUUGGACCAGCCGGUUUAACCGAUUUGGUCGGGAACCGGACUGUGGUCCGGUCCGAGUUGUAUAAAAAAAUCAUAUGUUCAAAAAGUCGGCCUAAACCAGUAAAAAUCGGAUGAAAAUCGACUAAAAACCAAAUGAAAAUUGGCUAAAAAUUGAUGAACCAGACCGAUUAAAAAUCGGUUCGAUUCAAUUUCUGAGUUUUUAAAAAAUGUGGGCUUUUUAAAAAUUUGGGCUCUUAGAAACUGUGUCCACUGAUUUUUUAAUUUUUGGGUCUCUUUAUUUUUAAACCCAAAGUCCUAAUAUGUUAAUUAAAUGAAAAAUAAUAAUAUGUUUUAUGGCAAUUAAUUUUUUUUUAGUUUUAAAUUUAUUCAUAUUUUAUUCUUUUUUUUCAAAUUAUUUACUAAGUUUUAUUCUUUUUAUAAAAGUCAAAUUUGAAAAUGUUUUUUAUUUGAGUUCAAAAAUUUUUUUAAUCUAUAUCAAUUUUAUUUAAUAAGUGUAUUUAAAAAUAUUAUAUAUAAAAAUCUGGUUGAACUAUAUUGAAUCAGGUCGAACCCUCCAGUUUAAUGAACUCCUCCCUUCACCGGUUUACUGACCGGUCCGGUUCUCAGAACACUGCUUAUAACAAUUAAAUCAGAACCCCUCUAUAAUCUUUCUCUGAACACACCCAAGUUCUCCGGCCUUGGCACUAUCACCUCAAAUUUUUGGAUGCUCAGUCUUUGUUCAUAUUCCAGAGACUGAACGUUCGAAAUUUGAUCCCUGCGCAGUCAAAUGUGUCUUUGUGGGAUAUGGGAUUAACCAAAAAGGCUAUCGUUGCUAUAAUCCCAAAACCCGUCGUAUGUACACCACAAUGGACUGCGAUUUUCUUGAAAUUGAAUAUUUUAUGCCACACCCAACACAGUGGUCUGGGGGUGAGUAAAACAGAAAUUAACCCACUGAAUUGGUUACUCAGUACAACUUUGUCUGUCGGUGAAUCCAACCAAAAAGUUGAGCCAGCUUCAGACAAUGUAGAAACUAUCAAAUUCAUUGACACACCUUGGACUCCACAGUUGGAUGUCCAGGAGGUAACUACCCAAGUUCAUAAUGAUUUUACUUUCGCUUCACAUUACUCUGAACAUGAACAUACAGCUCCAGAAACAGAAUUAGUUGAGACUACAGGGACAUAUAUUCUUUCUCAUAAAAGCACCCGAGGUAUACCUCCGAAGAGAUACUCACCAGAACAUGAACCCAAAACGUCUAGAUAUCCAGUGGCUAACCAUGCCAGGGGGAGUUUGUCCGAAGUAGCCAAAGUGUUCACAACAAUACUAUACACUGAAGAUAUUCCUAGAACAGUACAUGAGGCUCAACAAAAGAAGGAAUGGAGAUAGGCUAUGGAAGUUGAAAUAGAGGCUCUUGAAAAAAAUGGAACCUGACAAAAGUGCAAACUACCUACUGGAAAGAAGACAGUUGGAUGCAGAUGGGUUUUUAUAGUGAAGCACAAGGCAGACGGAACCAUAGAAAGAUAUAAAGCUCAGCUUGUGGCAAAGGGAUACAUUCAGACAUAUGGAGUGGAUUACUCAGAAACAUUCAGUCCAGUAGCAAAAAUUGAGGGGGAGUGUUAGAAGAAUAAAUUGUAUAAGGAAAUGAUUGACCACCUUAAUAAUAGGAUCAAUCCUUUGUACAAUAAAAGGAAAGGAUUGAAAACUUUAGCAUCAAUCAUUUUCUAAAUUAGAUGAUACAAGAUCCCUAGAAUUAUAUUAAAUUGUCUACAAAUUAUCUAUAAGACAAGAGUUGUGCACAAAAAAAAAUUAUAAUGAGAAUUGAAACCUCUUCUUCAAACUUAAAACUCUAAAUCUAAGAAUUUUUGUGUGGUGUUUUAGUGCUUAUCCAUCUUGUGACUAUGAAUUGUGCGUUCUAAUUAAACUUCUAAAAAUGUCUGUUUAAUGCCCGAAAUGUGACGGUGGCUUCAAUUAGUUAGGACCACGCAGCAAGUCAAUAAUCUGACAAAAAAAAAAAAAAAAAAAAAAAAAAAAGAAGCAAAGGCCAAAUUUGCCAUGGUCUCCAAUGCCCUAAUGCAGGUUCGUUUCGCUAUAAAAGCACAGACACUACGAUUCGGUUAAAUAUUAUUAUAGCCACUUCAAUCAAGAUUCUCUUUUAAAAAGAAAAGAAAAGAAAAUAUCAAUUAGUUAUUGAAGAAGAAAGACAUGGCAAAAGCAGAAAUGAGUAGCAGAGGGAAAAGAUGGUCUCUCAAGGGAAAGACUGCUCUUGUCACUGGAGGAACCAAAGGCAUAGGGUAUUUCUAAUUUACUUAUUCUUUCAUUUUCCUCUCUUCUUUCAUUUCAUGCUUAUAUUAGUUUCCUUUGGAGUACUUUAGACAUGCCAUUGUUGAAGAAUUAGCAGAAUUUGGGGCAGUUGUGCACACAUGUUCUCGCAACCAAAAAGAGCUUGAUCAGUGUUUACAAGAAUGGCAGAGCAAAGGCUUCAAAGUAACUGGAUCUGUAUGCGACGUAUCAAAUCGAACCCAAAGGGAAAAGCUUAUAGAUGUAGUUUCCUCCAUCUUUGAUGGAAAGCUUAACAUUCUUGUAAGUUUUCUUCUUUUUUUUCUUUCUGAUGUUUCUCUUUUAAUGGUUUAACCAAGUGGAUAAGUUUUCUUGUUCCGUCUCAAUCUCAUUUUUUAAAUAAAUAAUUUUUCGAUAUAUUAAUUUUUUUUCCGCAGUUAUGUGGAUUUUUAUUGAAAUAUUAAAAAGAGCCAUUUUAAUUAAAAUUGGAAAUUGGAACUGACAGUCCUACAUAUGCUUAAUUAGGUCAACAACGCAGGGACAUGUAAAUUUAAAGAAGCCUUAAAGGAUACUGCUGAAGACAUUUCGACCAUUAUGAGUACCAAUUUUGAGUCAGCAUAUCAUCUAAGUCAGCUUUCGCAUCCUCUCUUAAAGGCAUCAGAAUAUGGAAAUAUUGUAAAUAUCUCUUCCAUUGGAAGCAUUGCUGCUUUCCCUCUUGGUGCUCUCUAUGCAGCAUCCAAAGGUAUGAUAUUGUGCUUCUUUUGCCCUUUUACUUAUACAUGAUACAUAAUAAUAUAAUUAUGUCAUUCGGCCAUAACUUUAUAUUAUAGCGGUAAUUAUUGAUAAAAUUUUACCAUAUAAUAAAUAUUUAUUACUAAUAGCUAUCAGCUACUGGCCACCAGCCACCACAUAUUAAUUAUUAACUAACACAAACUGAUCUUUAGUUUUACUUCUUGAAAAUUUUGUUAAAAUUGAUCUAUUUGCUAUUUAAAAAACAUAACAGUAAGCUUGUCGUACGCAGUUAACUAUUUGCUGUUCACUUGAUUAAUUGAUAAGAUGGAUGAUUUGCAGGAGCGAUGCAGCAAAUUACAAAAAAUUUGGCAUGUGAAUGGGCAAAUGACAUGAUUCGAGUUAAUGCAGUUUUACCAGGACUUACAGAUACCCCCCUCUUAGAUCUUGCAAAGGUUUUUCUAUUAAUCAGUUUUUAAUAAUUAAAUAUUUAAAAGAUGAAAAAGCAAAUUUUUACUCAAUUGUGAUUAAUGAAAGUGAAAUAGUUUUGACAUAUGAAUAUUGAAUCAGUUAAUAUUUUUCUCUUUUAUAGAAAAGUUGGGAUAAUCCUGAAGUUGAGGAUCAAAUCACUCGUGGUAUCCCUCUCUCUCGAGAAGGAAAACCUGAAGAGAUUGCAUCAGUGGUGACAUUCCUUUGUUUACCUGCUUCUUCAUAUAUCACUGGCCAAAUUAUAAUUGCUGAUGGAGGAUUUACUGUGAGUCGCUUCUAAAUUUUACCCAAUAAAAAAAACAAAAUAGUAAUUAUUUUUGUUGUAUUCUGAAUUAGACAAUAUCUAUUUUAGUAAUUAAAAACAUUUAAAUAAAGUUUCAAUCUGUGGAGAAACCAUAUGUAACGUGCUAAUCUAUUACUAGAAGUGUUAAUUUAAAUUGGAAUUAUGCAUCUUUUGUGAUGGAAUCAACUUGGCUUGCUUUUUCAUGCACAAGAAGAAAACAAUUGGAAUUUUAGGUUAGACAAGCACGUUUACCCGCAGUAUGUUUCGGGCUUGCUACUGUAUUUUUAUCUAUUCAAUGUCUACUUUGGUACUUUUAUUUAAAAAAAAUAUUCUAUUCACAAAUUACUAUUUUACUAAUAGAAAAUUUAUUCGACUAAUACAUGUAAACUAUAUUUUGGGAUAUAUUUAAAAUAAUUUUAUAAUUAUAUUAGGAGAACAAAAUUAUCCUAACGCUAUUGCGCCCUUAAAUUUAUUUUUAUUUUUUAAUAUUAGAGAAUUUUGUAAGAAAAAUAUAUAAUUCACAUUUUUGUUUGUUUGCUCAUUUUUUGCUAUAAAAAUAUUGAAUCCACAAAAAGAUAAAAACUAAUUUUUAUGCUUCUAAAUUUCUCAAAUUUUAUUUAUUAAUUUAUUAAUAGAAAAUUCAUUCGAUUAAUACAUGUAAACUAUAUUUUGGGAUAUAUUUAAAAUAAUUUUAUAAGUAUAGUAGGAGAACAAAAUUAUCCUAAAGCUAUUGCGCUCUUAAAUUUAUUUUUAUUUUUUAAUAUUAGAGAAUUUUGUAAGAAAAAUAUAUAAUUCACAUUUUUGUUUGUUUGCUCAUUUUUUGCUAUAAAAAUAUUGAAUCCACAAAAAGAUAAAGUAAUUUUUAAGCUUCUAAAUUUCUCAAAUUUUAUUUAUUAAGUGAUAUAAAUUUUUAAUAAUUUAUCAAUUACCUUCAUAAAUUGCUCAUGAAUCUUUUAAUUAGUUCUAGUAAAAAAAAUUCUUAAAGUGAAAAAAAAAAUUAAAAUGGUCAAUAGAACAAUAUAUAUAUAUAUAUAUGAAAAUCAACCAUUAAUAGUUUUCUGCUUAUUAAUGACUAUCAUAUUAAUAGUUUUGCAUCUUUAAGAGCCAAAAUCCAUUUGCAGGGAUGGAAUGAUUUGAACAUAAGCAUAUAUAGAGGGUAAAAAUUGAAUAAAAUAAAAAGAUGAUGGUUUAAAAGAGAAUUCACUGUUCUUAUUGUAUUUACCAGUGAAAUGAAUUUUACCGGUCAAUUUGUAUUUACCAUAUUGCUUUACUUUAUUUAUUUUUCUAGAUUAUUACCUUUCUUAUUUUCUUUCUUUUUCUAUUUUUUUAUAUUAUUAUAAUUGAAAGAAAAUUAGAAGAAAAUUUUGAGAUUUUGUUUCUAUCGAAGAAGAGAUGUAAGACAAUAAAAAAAAGUAAAAAUAGAGAAUAAAUUGAAUGUGUGUUUAGAUUUUAGAUUUAAUACUCCCUCUAUGCUAUAUAUAUGCGCGCAUAGUUUGACUUUGUCGUGGAUUUAGAAAAAUGUUUUAAUAUAGUUUUUUUUUUUUUAGUUUCUUCUAAAUUACCAUUCUUCUAAUAUUAAAUGAUUCGUAAUAAUUCAUUAAAUUUUGAGUCUAUAAAUAUAAAUUAAAUGACAAUCAAUCACUCAUCCGUCUCGAAAAGAUAGCCCUUUUUUUUAAAAGGAAGACCAUAUUAAUAAUAUAAAAUGGAAAAUAUAAAUUGCAAUUAAUGAGAAUAACUAGCUUGAUAAUCUUUUAAAAUUCAAGAGGAAAAAAAAUAGAAAAACAAAACUACUUAUUAAAUAAUAUACGAAUUUGAAGGAAAACUGACUUACGAAAAAUAAUGAAUUAACGGGGAUUACUAAAAAUAAGAUAAAACUUAAUAAGGAUAUAAUAAAUAAUUUAACUAUAUAUACAAAAAGUACGUGGAUUAUAGUUUGGGAUAGACCAAAAUUGAAAGAUAGAUUAUCUUUUUAGGCAAAGGAGUAUGAAUUAUUCCUCUUCAAAUACUAAAAAUAAGAAAAUUAAAAAGUUUAAAGACUACAAAUGUAAUUAACGUUUUUCUUUUUAAUGAAGGCCAAUACAGCUUUCGUUUUUUAAAAUCAUGUGAGAGUUGUAUGAAUCCACUCCUUAGCUUUGUAGAAUAAACUUUCUGCUUUCAUUUUCAAAAUUGAAAAAAAAAAAAAAAAAAACAAGUGGAGAAUCUGAUUUUCUGAUUAGGCUUUUACUACAAUACAGAUAAUAAUUAUUCUGUAUUGAUACAGAAUCUUCAUUAAUUGACACAUGUAUUAAAGAAACCUAUUGUAACAGGUUACUCAAUUUGUUGCUCUAUUCUUUAUCUAUAUAUUUCCUAAUUUUAUCUUUUUUUUAUCCAUAUAUAUUUUCUAUCCUGCAACAUAUUAUAUAAAAUAUUAUCUAAUGAUAAAUAUAAAAUUAUCUCAAAAAAAAUUAGAAUUCAAAUUCAAGUACAUAAAAUUUUUCUUCUAGUAUUAUUAAUGUAAAAAAAAAAUAAAAUUAUUACUUAUCAUUUGAAAUCGUGUAUAUAAAAUAUCAUAUAAGAGCAGUUUUAUAAAGAUAAAAAAUAGAUAAAUUAUUACAGGCAUAAAUUUCUUUUAAUUAAAAAAUUUGUAAAAAUAUAUUAAUUACAAAUUCUAUAUUCCAAUUUACAAAUUGAAGGUUAUAAAUCAUGAUACAUGGACCUUUACAUUAUAUAAAUUCUAAACCAAACAAAUUUUAUUCGAAAGCUAGAUGAGUACAUAAAAAUUUAAUUUUAAAAAUUGUAAAAUAUAAUUUACAGAAAAAAUAAGAUUGAUCAGAAACUUCAAAAUUAAUGAAUUUUAAAAUAAUUUUAUAUAUAUAUAUAUAUAUAUAUAUAUAUAUAUACACGUGUAAUUUGAUGUUUUAAAAAUUAAAUAAAUAUUUUUAUGACUAAAAAUACAAUAUGAAUUAUUUUUAAAAAAUGUAAAUGAAUUUAAGAUAACAAUCAAUUAGUUAAACAACAAAGUAGAAGUAAUAAGGUAUAAUUUAUAUAGUUUAAUUUAUACAAUUUGAUAUUAUAUAAGCGUAGAGAUUUAUAAGUCAAACAUUGGAGUUGCAUAAUUUAAUUUUUUUAAUUAAAAAAUAUUUUAUUGAACAAUAAUGAGAUGUCGUGUAUGUAUGAUAUAAUUUAAAUUACAUGAUACAAGAUAAAUGUUUUAACAAUAAAAGAAUAGAAAUUUAUAAUUAUUUAUUAAAACUUUAAAUAAUUUAUGUUGAGUAAAUGAAUUUAAAGUGUUGGACAAUUAUUUAUCUUUGAAUUUUCAUGUUUUAGAGAAUUAUAGUUGUGUCGAAAAUAGUAACUUUUUUUUUGAUUUACACAAUUAAAUAAUUUUUAUAUUUUAAUAAUAAAAAACUAAAUGUUCUACUUUUAAUAAUUCAUUCUAUAAGUAACAAGUCAUUUGAUCAAUUUCAAAUCUAUUGGUCGAUAUCUAACUAGUGUAAAUCUAACGGUGAAGAAAGAUUCUGUAUUAGUAUAGAAAUUUUUAAAUUUGUACUGUAGUUUUACCCUUCUGAUUAAACCGCACAACCUCCACCAAAAUAAAGAAAAUUAGAAAAAAAAAAAAAAGAAAAGCUAGGUUUAUAUACGAAAUAAACUUGUGCUUUCAUUUCUAUGAUCAAAGAAACAAACAGCCAAAAAAUUAGAUUUUUCAAUUUAAUGGUAAAUAUGGUACACAUAUAUAUAUAUAUAUUCUGAUUCAACGGUGUGUGUGUAUAUAUAUAUAUAUAUAUAUAUACUAGUGUCUGUGUGGAGUAAUAUAAAAGGAUGGAAUAUCUUUUGUCAUGACAUCAUUCAAAAAUAACAAAAUUGUACAUUAAAAUGAUUGUGAAAUGCAUUACAAAAUUAUAUCUCAUUGAAAUAUGCUGAAAAAGUUGCAAUAUUAAGAUGUGUCUUCUUAAGUAUCCUGCAAAACAAUUCACCAAGAUAUGCAAUAGCAAAAAUCAUGCAUGGUAUGACAUGCAUAAAAAAUGCACACACACUAUUAAUGUAUUUUUCAACAGCGGCAAUAAUUUUAAGAAUUUAAUUAAUUAUAUUAAAAUAAGAAAUUAAAUAUUUUUGUAUUUUAUGUUUAUGAUUUAUUAUAACUAAUUGUUUAUUUAUUUGAAAAUAUUAAUGUAUUAUAUUUAAUUAGUGUUUUCUAAGCGUAUGAAAAUUUUACUUUUUUAAAAAUUAUCAAAUUCGUACAUUUUCGUAUCUUGUGUCCCGUGUCCUUGAAACCUAAUUCCUGGCAUAUGAGAUUACUUCAUAUACCAAACUAAUCAAUUAAGAUUUUUUUUUAUUAUCAAUAAAAACAUAAAGUGUUUUUUGUAAUUUUUUUAUUGUCUUUGUUUAUUAAUGAACAAAAAAAAAUACUCUCGUUCAAUUAAAGACAUAUUUCGACAGUCUUGGUAAAUCAUUUGCCUUUGUCAUAUUCUAAAAUUAUUUCACAUUAAAGAGAUUUUUUUUAAUGAAAAUGAUAAAUAAAUUAAAAUGGGAUAAGGUUAGCUUUAUGUGGUAUAUUGAUUAGUUCAAUUAUUAAUAAAUUUAAUUUAAAAAGAAAAUUAGUUCAACGACUUAAUUUAGAAUUCUGAAAGUUGAGUAAAAAAAAAUUGUUUCUAUUAUAAACUAAAAUAAAAUUAAUUCUAAAUCAAAUCAAAUUAAAUGGAAUAUUUCGAUAUGAUUUUUGAUUUUUUUUUUUAAAUACUAUCCACCCUACCCCAGUGAGUAAAGUGACCUAAUUUCUAAAUAUAUGUGUACAUAUUCUUAAUUUUUAUUUUUUAAUAUUCAUCUUGCGGAAUGAAAAGACACAUUGAUUGAAAAAUCAUACACAAUAUUAAAAAUAAGAUUAUGAAAUACUCUAUAAUUAUAUAACAACAUAUAAAAAUAUAAAAAUCAGUUUUACUUCAAACUAUAUGAUUGAAAAUUAAAUGUAAAUAACAUAAAAUUAGGACUUUAACAAAAUGCAUAGAUUAAACAAAAAUAUAGAAAUAUAAUAUGUAUAUAUAAAGAGAGAUUUAGAAAGUUGAUAAUUGAAAUUUUAGAAUUAUGCAACUCUUUUAUAAAUUGAAAGUAAAAUUAGUUUUGAAUUAAGAAUUGAUAUUUUAAACUAUUUUAAAUGAUUUAAUUAAUUAAAAUUUUUAAUAGAUGCAUAAAAUUAAUAUUUAAAUACUUCUUCAAAAAAAAUAAUAUUUAAAUAAAAACACAAUAAAAAGUUAUAUAUGGAUAUUGAAGUUUUUAAUUGGUUUCUAUAAAUUUAUUCUUCAUUUGUUCAUUAAAAUGUAAUUGACAUAAUGCAUCCAUGUCUCUUUAAAUCUCAAAAAUAAUAAUAACAAAUGAAUAUAAUUUGCUUCAAAGGUAGAAAGUCGUUUAAAUAUUUUUAAAUUUAUGGUUUAUAUUCAAAGUGUUAAAUCUAAUGAUAGAUAUGCACUUCUUUACCAGUAAAGAAAAUUUGAAUUAUGUAAAGUAAUUUUGCCUAAAUUUCCCAUACGCUUGUUUUGCUAUAAAUGAUUUUUAUACAAACUUAUAUCCUCAGAGUCACAGUACUAUAUUUUAGUUGAAUAUCAUCAAAUUCAAUAAAAGUGAAUUAUGAAAUUACUGUAUCCCUUCUUUCUAAUGAAUUAUAAGUUUUGAAUAAACAUAUUAAUGGAAAAAAGCAAAAGAGGUUACCUUUAGCAAAAUUUCAAAUAAUGAGAAAACACUUAUCAAAUUCUGUCUUGUCAAUAGUACAUACGCAAAUAUUUAUUUAUUGGGAGGUUGUCCAAUGCCCAGAAUAAUAUUAUUAUACAGGGGUAAGCAUGUAUUUAAAUAUUAUAUAUAUAUAUAUAUAUAUAAAUUUGAUAGGGCUCAACGAGUUUUCGAGCUGAAUGUCACUAGGCUCGAGCUCAACUCAUUUACUCACGAGUGGGAGCUCGAGCUCGAUUUGAGCAAAAUUUUUUCAAACUUUUUUCGAGCUGAACUCAGUUCGAAUAAUUCGUGAGUCGGCUCGGCUCAUUUACACUUUUAUUGGUAGCCACCACUACUAAUAACCGUCCACCACCACUAUAUUAUAAUAAUAAUAAUAAUAAUAAUAAUAAUAAUAAUAUAAUCAACGUCUUGCAUGAGUUAUUAAAAAAAAAAUCAAGAAAACUGGGAUUUCUAAUUUUCAUAAAAAAAUAAUAGAAAAAUUGUCCGAUAUAUACCGGAAAAAAUUGUCUUUCAUUCCAACUGGCUUCCAAAGGAAAAAAUAACAACUUAGUGUAGAUAAUGAAGGUUAAGAAAUUAAUCAAUUAAUUAUUGGGAUACAAAAAGGAUAUUUGCUGUGUGUGACAUGACAGAUGACAGCAAAUAUUGUUGAAAUCAACCAUUAUACAUGUUUAAUUCUUAUUAUAAUAUUUUUUUUCUUUGAAAAAAAAACAGAUAGAAAAUUAUGUUUAUAUGUUACUAUCACUAUAAAGACAAACCGUCUCCUAGUCCUAGGAGCUAUCAGGUUUCAAAUCUCCCUAAUCAAGAAGCAUAAUACUGUUUUGUAGAAAAUUAUCCAAAAAUGUUGAUGAUUUUUACGUGUUAACUGUCCAUGUAACUCUCUUACUAAUUAUAAGAGCAAAAUGUAUAAACUCAUAUCUGAAUUUUAUAUAAAAAGAUAUUAAUAACACCCUUCAUUUUUAUAUUGAUAUAUUAAUUUUUAAUUUACUUUAAUUUAUUGUUAAAUAUUUAAACUUAUACUAAUGCUGAAGAAAUAUUCAAAAUGUAUAUAUCAUUGUUUAAUAAUGUUAUAUCUAUGGCUGGUGUUUCCGUUCUUCGGAUGAGCAAUGGAUUCUGGGGUUUGCUGCCCCAUUGAGCACUUGUACAGCUCUUGGCAGAGCUAUGGGCAGUCUUCUAUGCUUUGUCUGUGGCUAGGGAAAAGUGUUGGGUUAAGCUCCAACUUCAGGUGGACUCGCAUGCGCUUGUGGAUAUGCUUUCAAACAGAUGAUCGUCGGAAAAUAAGUACAGAAACUUAGCGGCAGCGUGUGUUUCGCUCUUGGAUUGUCAAUGGAAUGUGCAUUUGGUGAAGAUUUUCCGAAAGCUAACAGUGUAGCAGAUUGUCUUGCAACUUCUGCUAUUGUGGGUGGGCGAGGCCUUCAUUUAUUUGAUAAUCCUCCUGCUGCCUGCUCUCUGGUGCUUUAUGCUUACUCGGUGUAGCUUGGCCUCGUGCCAAUUAGUUUCUUGGGUAUCAUCCCCUCCUUUCUAAUUUAAAAAAAAAAAAAAAUGUUAUAUCUAUAAUAUUUUACUAAAUAAAUAAAAUAUCUAAUAAUUUUAUAUUUUUAAUUUAUUUUUAAACUCUAUUUUAUAUAAAUCAACUCAAAAUAUAAAAUUCAAUUAUAAAUGAAUUCUUCAUAUUUGAAAUAAAUUUUAAAAUAAAAAUUCAUUAAUUUUAAUCUUAAAAUACUUUUGGCAUAAUAAUUUUAAAAAGCUAGGAGGUGGAGAAUUUUGUCGUAAAAUUUUAAGUUGUUUAAGUUUGCAGAAUUUAUUUGAAAAUUUUAUAUUUUUAUAUAAAAUUUGAUUUUAUUAUAUUCAAAUCCAUAAAAUUAAUGUCGUAAAAUUUAGUUAUUCAUUUUUUCAUACUAAAUUCAAAAUUUUAGAUUUAUAAAUGAGUUCUAUAAAAUUCAUAGAACUCAUUUAUUUUAAAUAAGAGUAUAUAAUUUUACAAAUUUAAGCAUUUAAUUUAAAGUUGAAAUUAUCAUUUAAUCUUUCUUGUAAAAUUCAGUUAUCAAUUUACAUAAUGAGUUGAUUUAAAUUUUGGGGGAAAACGUAUCGACACACAGAUAGAUAUAUAUAUAUAUAUAUAUAUAUAUAUAUAUAUAUAUAGAGAGAGAGAGAGAGAGAGAGAGAGUACAAUUAAUAACUAAUUUAACUGGCACGUUGGUAUCACCUGUAAAAAGCUUAACGAUGCUAACUUUUAACUUUAUUCUAUUAUGUGAAUAUCUUUUUUUGGAAAUAUGACAUAUUUUCAGGAAAGAAUUUUAUAUUGGAUUAUUAAAUAAGUUACCUAUUUUUUUUGGAAAGGAAUAAGUUACAUAAUUUAAUAUUUCAAAAGAAAAAAAAUUACACAAUUUAAUAUGAUUAAUGAUGCUUAUGAAUGAACGCUCAAUGGUGUUUCAAAAUCUUCGGCUUUCUAACAAUAAAAUAUAAAUUAUAUUUAUUACUAUAAUUACUAGCUCUGAUACAUAAUAUUUGUUAUAUUUGAAUUUUCACGUUUUUUAAGUAAAUCAUUAAAUUUUUCUAAAUUAUAAUAAAUUAUUAAGUAAAUUGACUAAUUUACACAUAAUUUAAUAUUAAUUCUUUAAAAAAAACCAUUAAAUUGAAGUAAUAUUUAUUGAUCAUAUACAAAGGGUAAACAUGAGAAAAAAUAUUUAUUACUCUUUGAAACCACAAACGUGAUGAGUAUUUUAAAAUAAAUUAUUUUCUCAAAUGUGACAAGUAUUAUGGAAUAAAGGUAGUAAUAUUUCAUAAUUAGCAAUUAUCAAAAAUAUACUACUAUAAUAUACUAUUAAUAUAAAAAAUUAGUAUAGUAUUGUAGUAGUAUAAUAGUAAAACUAUUAUACUAAUAUAAAUUAUUAAUUAAAUUAAAAUUACUAUUAAUAUAAUUUUAAUAAAGUAUUAAUGUGGUAUAAAUCUCCGAAGUACCAAUAUUAUAAAAUGGGACUAUGAUAAAAAGAAUAAUGAUGUAAUCAAUGCACUGGAUGACUAUAAUGUAUUAAUGUUAACUUCAUAUAUUGUAACUUGAAUAUAUAUUUCAAGCUUACUCGAAUUUAUUUCUUAUUCCAGGAUAAUUUUGUUUUUCAUGUAUAUAAAAUUUAUUGUUAAAAAAAAAAAAAGAUAAAAAGAAGAAGCAUAUCCAGGCAUUUGCUUGCUUGACAGAUAUUAAUUAAUUUGACCAGUAAAUAUAGCAAUUCCUUUUGAAGACUCAAAAUGUUUUUAGAAAGACAUUGAUUCAACCCAUUUGACUGGUUUAUAAUUUUCAACUAAAAUCUAAUCUCAGUAUAUUUAUAAAAUAAUUAAAGAAUACCUAGGAGUGGAAUUUGGUUGCAUAUCACCAUCUUUUUCCUUUAAAAAAUAUAUAUUUCUUUUAAUAAAAUAUGAUUAAUCAAUAAUUAAAUAAUAUGUGAGAAGAGAAAAGCUCAUUGCUUGUGAAGGUAACUUUGGUUGAUAUUGAUUGAUAUUUUAAUAUAAUAAAUUAAAUUAAAUUGAAGAAAAUACUUUUCAUUUCUCAACGCUAACUAACACGGCAAGGAACGAAAAUACUCUAAUCUAUUAUUUUCCAUGACUUCUUCUGAUUGUCAGUUUCUAGAUACUGCAUAAUAUAUAUAGAGUUUGCAAUUUUCACCUUCUUUUCCUUUUUUCAUUUAUAAUAUUAAUUUAUUAAGACAAGAGAGUGAUAAUUUUUGUUUUUUAAAAAAUAAAAAAAAUGCAAAACUUGCCUUCAAAUCAUCUCAUUAGAGGAUGCCAUAUGGAAAAUAUUUUUAACUUAGAAAUUGAAUGUAACAAGUCUAUAAAAUGCAUCCACGAUUCAUGUUUCAUGUGUUUAUUUCCUUUUGUUUUAUUGAUUGAGAUGUUCUUCUAAAAUAAAUUUCUGAUGAUUGAUUGAUAUAUUUCUUUUUAAACAUAAAGUUUGUAUAUUUUUUCCUAAUAUUACUUGUUCCAAAUAUAUAUAUUUUUCAUUUUUUUAACGAGAAACGGAGUCUAUUUUAAUAAAAAUAAGAUUAUUUAUUUCCUAAAAAAGAAUUAAGAAUUUAAAAUAAAGAGUAAGGGUUUGAUUCAGAUAAUAAUGGCUAAUAAAACUAUUUUGCAAUUAAUAUUUUUUUUAUGAUCAUUUUAUUAUAAUUAUUUAAAAAUAAAAAAAAUUUAUCAGACAUUGUUUUAAAAUUUUUAAUUAAAAUUUUUAUUUAUAUUAUAUAUUAAAAUAAGAAAUAAUACAUAUGUUCACUUUAAAUAAACAAAUAUAUAUCUACACACAUUAUAAAUUAUAAUAUAUAAAUGAUUAUGCCCUUAAUGAUCAUUUUAUAUUUAACAGUACCUGUUACCCAAAUUUUGUCCAACAAGAACAUACAUCAAAUGAUUGCUAUCAACAAUUAGUCACCAGUGUCAUCAACUAUCGGCUGAUAUGAAUUACUGAACGAGCUUUUCAACUAUAAUGUGGAUGGCAAAUCUUAUAACGGAAUUGAUAUUAUGAUAUAGUAUGUAAAUCUUUGAUUUGGGCUUGGUAUAAAAGUGAGCUUCUGUUGUCUACCAAAAUGCAGGCUUGGUCAUAAUAUGAUCUUGGAAAAGCCUGCAUUUUGGUAGACAAUGGAAGCUCAGUUUAUAGAGCCUGACUAAGCCCAUAUCCAUAAUACCUCUUGCUUAUCUUGUUCACCGCCUAUAAUCCACAAUACACAACUUAAGUUUGAACUAUUACACUGAAUCAAAAUAAAAGGAAAAUAAUGAUAAAUUGUUAAUUUUCUUUUCAUUGUUAUUUUCCACCAUUGUGUUUAGAUAAUAAAGAAAAUAAAAUAAAUUUAUUUUUCUUUAUUUGGAAAAGAUAAAAUUUUAGUGAAAAAAAUUGUUAAUAUUGACAAUAAUUUUAAUAUUCAGUUAAAAGUAGUUUGGGUAUUUGAGUAAUUACGUAAAAAUUGGAGAAACAUCAAUAUUCCACCAUUAUUUUCUCUCUAUUUUCCACCAUUAUUUUCUCUCCUAAAUAGAGAGAUUCUAUUUUUGUGAGAUGGGGACGAAAAGAAAUUAAUUUUUCCUUUUUUUCCAAAGAAAAUUGCUUUUCACAAUUAUUUUUCUCAGUUAUUUUAAUUCCUUAAAAAAAUACCUCCAUCCAAACAGAGUAUUAGGUAAUUGAUUAUGUCUCUAGACAGUAACAUAACAUGAAUUGGAAAAAACUAUACCACAUCAAGAGCACUUGCACACUUUGCUAGCCAAUCUGCUUUGAAAAUUAGUGUGUGUAUAUAGGGCUGUUAACAAGCUGAGUUGAGCUUUGGUGAAUUGGAAAAAACUGACAGUUGUCUGACUUAUAUAACUAUUUAAGAAAAACAACUAUUUCAGACAAAUUGCAACUGCUCAUGGAUCUUACGGGAACAACAGAGACUAUCUAUUCCUGUUAGAGAAAGCCUAUUUGAUAUUGGUGAGAAUAAUAUUCUUCAAAUACCCUUAUUAUUGUCCAUAAUAAAUUAAUGUAUCAUAUUAAUAUUUUCCAAAUGGUUGAGUGCUCAAUUGCUUAAGUUUGUGAAUAUGUCUAACAGGUCAUGCGGAUGACAUGGUGAUUGAGUUGGCAAAUGAAGUGAGGAUGGUAUACUUGGAAUUAUAGGAAACAGGAUUCCCAUUGAGAAGAAGGUAAAUAGAGAUUGGUUUGUUUAGUUUUUUUUUUUCUUUUCCUUUUUUUCUUUUUAUUACAUUGAUCAUGUAAGUUUUUGUUUUUGUUUUUUUUUUUUUUUUUUUUUUUUUGUUUUAUUUAUUAUCUACAAAAGUGUAGGGAUUUCAGAAUAAAUGAUCGAAUCAGUACAUCAUCAAUUGGAUGCAAGGUAAUGUUAAAAAUAGUUGUUUUCUUUAAAUUUUGUUUACUUUUUUCAUUUUCAGAUUUUAUUUUCAUUAAUAUAUACAUAUUUCAUUAUUUUCUUUGAAAUACUAUUUUUCAUUAAUUUAUAAAUUAUAAAAUAAUUUAAAUAUCAAAUAAUUUAUUUAAAUAAUAUUUAUUUAAAAAUUAAUAUUUUAUUUGCAUAAUUAUCUAUUUCAAUAUUCGGUUUUUGAAUUUACUUGAACAAAUGUAUUUACUAGAAAAUUUUAAUUUCUCAAACUUUUACUAUUCAAUAGAGUUGUUUUAAUUGUAAGGGUUUAUUGAAAAUAUAUAUUUUAUAUUUAUGUUUUUGUUUAUCCCUUGAUAGAAUGUUAUUUGAACAAUUCAAAGUAUAGUAAAGAUAGUAGAUGUUUUAUAUUUGAUUUUACUUUAUAUUUAGUAUUUCUAGCAAUGCACAAUCACUAAAGAUAAAGUAAUAUUAUUUUCUCAUUAAUUAUAAAUUUUUAUGAUUAUUUGUGCAUAACGCUAGAAAUCAGGGAUAUGUAUUUUUUGAGAUUUUCUCUAAAUAUUUUCCCAAUUUUUUAUUCUUCAUUUUAGUAUGCAUUGAAAAACAAUAAUUGUUGAAACAAUAUAUAAAUAUUCACACGUAAAACGCGAGUUAACGACUAAUAUGAUAUAAAUACGAAUCAACUAUCAACGUAGAUGAUGGAAUCAAAUAGUUGUUUAAGAGUUGAUACUAAUUAAAUUGCUUACCAAAUACUUACAACAUAGAUGUUGUGUACGAAUUAGCUAUGAGCUGCAUGAAUCAAUUGAAUCAAACAUCCUCUAGAGCGACAUAUAAAGGUUGCUAGCUUAGCAUGGUAUUAACCUCUUACUCAAUUAUUUAUCUCACCGAUUUAAUUUUAUCUCAUUGUACAUAUCAUCAUCAAUGCAUUACCCUAGUUUAUAUCUUGUAAAACAUAUGUCAUCAUCAAAAGCAAAUUCCUGGUUUCAUAAUUAAAAUUAAUGUUCAUUUUGUAUAUUUUUGUAUGGUUUCAUACAAAUAGUGACUAAUAGGAAUAAAAUAAUAUUAAAUUAAUAUUGUCGAUAUAUUUUAAAAAAUAAAAGUAAAUAAAUUUUUAAUUCUCAUUUAUUCCAAAAUUUUCUUUAAACUUUCUUAUCAACAAUCUGGAAUAUUAUUUAGACGAAAUGGAAUCCCCUAUUUGGUUUUGAAUUUGGUUCCAAAACCUUUGGCUGUCUCUGUCGGCUUCAUACUUGUUAAUUAGGCCGACCAGACACAACUUGCCUAGUACAAAAUGACGGUUUUGUCUACCAGAUAGUGCAUACGACAAGUGGAAACGACGAUUUUGCAUGCCGUGGAACAGUGACUUAUAAUGCCAAACGAUGUCUGGAUGUUGGGUGGUCGUUUCGUCGAGUUUCGUAUUCCCUAUACACAACUUGUGGUCAUUGGUCCCCGUGCACAAGGCCACAAGCCAUACCUCAAUGUCGUUGUCGUUGACUAGGCACUUUAUUAUUUUUGCCUCGGUUCUAGAAGCAGGUCUAUUGUUGUCUGGCAUGUUCCGUCGUCGCUCUGUUUCUAUAGGUGCUCCACUUCGAAUUUGACAUAUUUUCUUAAUAUAUGUGCAUUAUUAUUCCUAUUAUUUUAAGCGGUGCGAAGCUGAUCCUGAGCUCAUUCACUAAACCUUGACUACUGAAUACUGAUUAAGCUAUUGAAGAGGGAAAGAAACAAAAAUGCAACAUAACUUAGAAUAAGGAUUAUGUUUAACACGCAUUAAUUGAAUAUUAUGAAUCAUAAUUAAAAAUAUUUUUAAGUCAAAUAUAUAAAUUCACUCUUGAACUUCUCAACUUUAACUUUGUGGCACCUUUAUGAAUGACUUAUUGUGCAUUUAAACUUGCAAAUUUUGCUAAUAUUAUAUACUUUUCCACACUAAUAGCAAUAUUUUAAAGGAUUUUUGGCUUUCAUAAGAAAAAUAUUGAUUGGAUGUGGUCAGUAUAAUUUUUGCAACAAUAAUUUUCAAAUUUUCAAAGAUUUAAUAAGUAUUUAAUUGAUCUAAAUUUGUAAGUUGAAAUGCUUGAUAAAAUAAUUCUACAAAUUGAAGCGUUCAAUAGAUAAAAUUUUAUAAGUUGAAGUGUUUAACGGGUCAAAAUAAAAGUUGAAGGUGCCAUAAAAUUAAAAUAACAAAAUUUAUGGCGAAUUUAUGUAUUCAGCCAACGUUUUUAAUUAGAAAUUGUCAAUUAUUUUCUUUCUCUAUUAUUGUUUCCUUACUAGUACUGUAAAUUAGGGAUCGCAACAGAUGGAGUGCCCAUAUAAAAUGCACUAUCAAAUCCAAACCCAAUUAUAAAUUAGGUAUCUGAAGUGUUAUCAAAAUCUUAUGAUUCACAAUACGAAUCUUAUGAUUCGAUUCAAUUUUUAUGCUCAAUGAUUCGAAUCUUAUGGUGAAUAAGUAUUGAUAGUGAACCUUACGAUUCAUGUGAUUAGAAUCUUACGAUUUAUGUGAUUAGAAUCUUACAAUUCGAAUUGAUUCUUAUUUCAAAUGAUUCUCCUAUCCAAUAAAACCAAUGGAAAAGUCAAUAUAGAGAAAAAAAAAAAAAAGAGUAGGAGAAUAUAAUUAUAUUACAAGAUAAAUAAUGAAGGGCUUGAAUUUGAAAAUGAUAAUGAAACAUGGAUUUGGAUAGGAGACUUUAGUGGCUUGAUAGUUUUCUUUUUUUGUUAUAUUAAAAUUUUAAUUUCAUAUUUUGAUAUUAUGAACUUUUUCAUAGUUUGAUAUUAUGAACUUAACAACUACGCAAGUCAUUAAGUUCUUUGAUAGUUGGUAUUUUUAUAGUAUUUUUAAUAUAGUUUUAUUAGGAUUUUUAAUGUUUUUUAAUUACUUUAAUUAGUUUUUAUUUAGUUUUAUUUAUAUUUUUGUGUAAAGCUUUCUUAAAACAUAUUUUACUUGAUCUUGAGGAAUUUUGCAGGAUUUUUAUAGGAAACCAGCUUAAUUCCUAUCUAGGCACUGGGAGAUUCCUAAUUGGGAAGAAAUACAAAGCCUAAACAGUUUUCUAUUUGUAAAGAUUUCUUACUCAAUAAAGAUUCACUUUCCUAAACGAACACGAAAAUAUUCCAGAAAGUCUAUAUAAAUAGAGAGACUAGCCAUAGUCAAGAAAACAAUUCAUUGUAUAUUCCAUCUCUGGUUCUAUUAUUUUUCUACAUAGUUCUCUUUCUCAAAGGCUUCAAGCAUCCAAGAUUUGUGCCAAGAUUCAAGGAAGCCAUCCACGUAUCUCUUGUCUAGUUUUUAUUUCUAAACUCUUAAUCUUGUUUACUUUUCAUUAUUCAUAUUAAUUAUAAAAUUUUAUUCAAGUAUAAUUGAGUUUUAUUUAAUUCCUAUGUUGAACUAAAACUCUCAUACUAGAGAUUUGAUGUAGCUUAAUUUUGAUUCCAAUUUAUAAUAUUAGAUUUGCUUUUCCUUGUUCAAAGUAUAAUUUAUUAUUGCACUUAAUGCUCUAGGUAGAGUUUCUCCCCUAGAUUGAUUUAUUUCAUUAAUCACUAUCGAGAGAAGGGUUUUUGAUAUGAAUAGGGUAAUAAAUUACAUGAGAAUAAUAACUUGAUGCGGAAGUUAUAUAGUUUGACUCAUAGAAGGUUUUUAUAAGUUAAUGACCUUAGGCUAUGAAUUCACAAAACAAAUCACAAAACGUAAUGAUUUAAUUCAUGUUUGAUUGCGCUAUUAGAAGAUAGGACCGGGUUAGAAUAGCUAACAAUACAUUGGGAGAGCUUGUUAGUGAUUUUAGGGUUGUUUCUCCUAAUUGAACAAUUAAAUUGAUUAACGAACUAAUAAAAUAAAUUGGAUAGAGUUAAGUGAAAUCAAAAUCCUUAGCAGUUUUAAAAUCCUUGGUUUCUUUUCAUCUGCAUAUUGUUGCUUGAUUUAUUUCUAUUUUAUUUUUAGAAUUUACUUUUCUUACAAUAAAUCUCUCUUAUCGCUGUUUAAAUAAUAGUAGGUUAACACAAUUUUAGUACUUGAUAUACAAUCCCUAAGAGACGAUACUCUAUUUACUUUAUAUUACUUGCUAUGAUUUCGUAUACUUGCGAAAAAUCACUGUCAUUCUCUUUCAUUUUGUGUUUAGUAAACGAUUUAGAAUUGAAAUUUAAACAAAUACAUUACUUGCAAUUAUAUCUUUUGAUAAAAUUAAUGGAAAUAUAUCCAUAAAUAUAUAUAUGUAUUUUUAUUUUUAAUUAAUUUUGAAAAGUUAUACUGAAUCUUACAAUUCAAUAAUUGAUUCCAAAUAUAAAAAUUUCGAUUCUCGAUUUGACAUCUAUGAACCCGUUUAAAAAUUUUUCUUUAGUACCCGAACCUGUCUUGAGCCUAAUUAUAAUUAACUGUUUAAAUAUUUGAACAUGUUUAAAUAUCCGUUUAGCAUUAAAAAUAUUUUUAUUUUUAUUUUCAAAAAUAAAAAUAAGUAAAAAUUAUAAGGUUAUUAUUUCGACUUAACAAAAAUAUAAUAUAAAAUAUUAAGAAUAAUUAUAGCAUUAAUUAUAAUUGAAAAGAUGCAUAUAUAUAUAUAUAUAUAUAUAUAUAUAUAUAUAUUCUUUGAAAAAAAAAGUUAUUUUAAAUAUUUUUAAAAUAUUAAUUAAACGUGUAAUAGAUAGUGGGUACUCGAGUUCUUGAAUUCGUAUCUGAUAUGGGUAAUAAACCCAUCCCAAACCCGUCUAUUCACUAUCCGAACAUGUCAAAAUUGGGUCGGAUUAAAUCGGGUAAAAUUAUCGAUCGUCAUCCUUACUGUAAACCCUCUAAAAAGUCUCUUCACAUAUAAGUAAUUUUGUUUAAAAAAAAAAGCCAUAUAUUUAUAUGUUUUUUAUCCUAAAAAAAAAAAAAAAUCUAAUCUUAAGUAAUUGAAUUUUUUUUUAGAAAAAUCAAACUAGAAUUUCAUUCGAUAGAAACUGUAUACAUAUAUGGAAUACAGAUCAAUAUGUUUCUAUAUUUUUGUAUAAGAUGUCUAAUAAUAAACCACUUAUACAACAAUAAAAAAACACAAUCUUGAUUUGAAGUAUCUGAUCGAAUUGACAGAAUAUGAUAUUUGUGCCAUAGGCGAUCGCUUGCUCUACUUGGUGGCUAUUCAUGGCCACUGUUCGACUCCCUGGUCUUCUACAUGUCCGAUCUGAUUACCUUCAAAUUUCUUCCUUCUAUUGGAGAGAAGAUCUGUACUUCUUUUUGCAUAGCUAUCCAAAUAAUAAAAGACGCUAGACAAAAUCAUCAUAAUAAUGAUAACAAUAACUCAGAAUUAUAUUUGAGGGCAAAAUUUCAAUAUAUAGGCAAUAAUAAAUUUCAAUAAAUGAACGACAAUAAGUUAGAUCUGUUUACAUAUCUGAGAAUUAUUUGCAAAAAACCAAAUAAAAUAAGGAAAGGGGUGACCACCGUGAGAGCUCACCAGUGGCCGCUCGUGAAAGAAGAGAAGAGAAGAGAAGAGAGAUGAGAGAUUUUAAGUUUUUAGAGGCUUCGUCCAAUAAGUUCUUUCUGUCCAAAAGGAGUCAUUUUGCCAUUGUGUCACUAAGUUAUUGAAUAUCUAAACUACUUUAUUGUUAUAAAAAUUAAUUUUACAAGAUAAAUUAUUAUUAUUAUCUACAGUUAUUACUUUAACUUAGUAAAAUUCAAAACAAUUGACAACAAGCCCAAAAAAUAAAAGAAAAGAGAGAGAGAGAUUUUUCAAUUUUUCAAACAAAAAAUUAUUUUUCAAAUUUUUUAAAAAAAUAUAUAAUUCAUUAAUUAUAAUAUCAAACAUUAUGAAUACUCACAUAAAAUAGAUGCGAAAUUUUAUUAUUAGAAGUUAAUAGAGUUCAUUGAUUUUUUAACAAAUCAAAAUCUAUAUAUUCUUUUCAAUGAUAAAACUAAAAAUAAAAGAUAUAAAUAUUAAAUCCUUCUACUUGAAAAUGAUCUCAAUAAAAAAUAUAAAUUUUUAUGGUAUCAACUAGUCAUUUAAUUAAUUUGAAUGAUAAAAUAAUAACUCUUCUGGAUUUUUCAUACCUGAAUUGUUUUUUCAAAAAUUUUUAACAAAUCAAAAGAAUUCUUUAUAUUCUUUUGAAUAAUAAAAUUAAAAAUAAAAAAAAAGCUAAUAUUAGAUCAUUCUACUUGAAAAUGAUAUUAAUAAAAGAUAUAAAUUUUUAUCGUAACAACUAGUUAUUUAAUUGAUUUGGAUAACAAAAUAAUAACUCUUCUAGAUUUUUUAUAUGUGGAUUGUUUUUCAAGAAUUUGCAACAUAUGACUACACAGACAAGUUCCUACCACUAUUCAUCAGUAAUAUUAAUAGAGGAACAUGCCACACUAACAGGCUCCAUUGAUAAAAGAUCCACAUCUGCAAAUUAAGAUCUAAGAUCUCCAAUUAAAUAAAUCAAACAUCAUACUUUUAUUUAGUAAUAUACUCUCAUAAAGAAGGGACCAAACUCUUACGGAGAAGGGCAAAAAACUCCAAAUAUAAUAAGACAAAACAAUAAUAACAAGGACCAAGAAAAAAACAUAUCUAUUAUAGGAAAAAGAAAUAUAAGUUUUUAAAAGUGAAUAAGAUAUAUUUUCAAAAAAGAAAAAAAAAAGUGAAUAAGAGAUUAGAAGAAAGAAAGAGUAGAAGUUGAAUCAAAAUAAAAAAUAGAAGGUAGGUAUUACUACCGAUCAACAACAACAGUUUCAAACUAAAAUUAAUGUUAGACGAUAGAGUGAAAAAAGAGAAAAUAUUUAUCCAAAUUUACACAUACAAGACAAAGAUAUGACAUAUAUUUUAUCAAAAUUAUAGCAAUUUUAACUCAUAUAUCUCAUAUAUAUGCAUGCUAUACAAGUGAUUAGGGGCAGAGUUAACUCUCUUUUAACAUGGGGAAGCCAAUGGUAUUUUUAAGAUUGGAAAAGAAUAGAGACAACACACAAGAAUUUUUAAGAUUUGCAAACACGUAAACAUGUGUUAAUGGUGACCUUGAGUGACAAAAAAAAUUUUGGUUUGUGUUUGUUCACGCAUUGAAAUAAAUAAACUAAAAAUGAUUUUUUUUUUUUUUGAGUGAAAAUGGAUGAAUAGAAUUAAGAAUCAAAAAUUGCUAACUCAACCAUUAUAAUGAUAUCAAAGGUUGAGGAAUUUCCUCAAUCCAACCUUAUUCAACUUGGUCUAAAAAGGGGAAAAUGGAGUGGUGGAACUAGAAAAAAAAAUAUUAGGAGGGCGAAAAUUUAUUUUCAAAAUUUAAUUUUUGAAAUUGAAAAAUUCACUAUUUUAUAAAUAAAAUGUAAAAUUUUCUAUAUUUUGCAAGUUAAAUUUUUAAAAAUUUUUAAAGUUAGAGGAGGCGAGGGUCACUAUCGACUACUCCCCAAUUUGCCGUUGUAUAUAUGCAAAUUCAUAUUUUAAUUAUAUGCACACCCUAUAAUAAGUAUAAAAUUUUGAAGAAUCAAAUAUAUGAAUAAAGGUUAUUUAUAUUAUUGGUGUUUAAACUUCUCAAUUAUUUCUAAUUUUGUGUUUAAAUAGAAAAUAUUUUCAUUUAAAUGUUUGAAUCACUUUGCUUCUUAUAGUCAAAUGCAUUUGGCGUACAGGAAUCACUAAAUGAUUAAUAAAUCGAUCUAGGUCCACAUCUCAUUCAUAAAACUAGUGAAUUGGAAUUGGGUUCAGUUCUCACUUGGCUCGUGCCUGUAAUUAAUUUGUAAAUUGACAAAUACAACCCUCACUCCCUUCAAUUCAGCAACUCCAAAGGGGUAGCCAUCCUUCUUCACAUUUCAUUAAUAUCAUUCAAACAAAACACCAAUGUUUUUAUAUUUUCCGUUUUCAAAUACUUAUCACAUUUGGAUAUUUCACCUCCUUUAAAGAAAAUUAUUUAAUUUGUUUAAGUUAUAAUAAAUUAUUGAGUGAAUUGAUUAUAUUAUCCUUAGUUUGUUUAAAUUAUAAUAAAUUAUUGAGGAAUUCAACAAUCAUUAUUGGACAAAUACAAAAGUUAAAAAUGAAAAAAUAAUUUAUUGUUUGUGAAAAAUACACAAAUUGACAAAUAUUUUGAAAUAUAGUAUUUUCUCGAAUGUAAAAAAUAUUUAGAAGCCAAUGGAGUAUUAUUUUAAUUUCCAUUUUACUCGAUGCCAACCAAUAAAUAUUUCAAUGUUUUAUUAUUCGAUAAAUAGUAUUCUUCCACCUCCGUUUAAUUGUUAAGUAAGAGAUUAAUCUAUUUAUACAUUUUUAAUUGAAUUUGAUUUAAUUAAUUUGCUCUUAGGGCUAGAUUCUCAACAUUAAUCCCACAACAUGAACGUUGGUGACAAGCCAUGUAACAUGAGAUUUUACUGCUCUUGAACAAAAUAAUACUUGGGUUAUUACUGAUCUCCCACUUGGGAAAAGUGCUCUAGGAUGCAAUUGAAUCUUCAAAAUCAAAUAUAAUCCUAAUGGUUCAAUAGAAAGGUAUAAAGCUUAUUUUUUAACCAAACGUUAAAAAACAAAGGGCAUCGACUACUCUAAGUCAUUCUGCCUUGUUAAAAUUACAACAAUCUACUUAUUAUCGGCCUUUGCUGCUGCUCAUAAUUGGCAUCUUUACCAACUUGAUGUUGGCAAUCUUUUCUUUAUAGAGAUAACCAUAAAGAAGUUUACAUAGUCUUACCUCGAGGCUAUUCCGCUACUGUUACAAAACCUAAUCAAGUUUGUCAUCUUCAAAAGCCUCUUUAUGGCCUUAAACAAGCAAGCUGAUAGUUGUUUUCCAGUACUCCAUUGCACUUAUUUUGCUUAAUUAUAUGGGUAUUGAUAGAGAGGUGCUGUCUUUUGCAUGAUAUAUGAUGCGAUGAGUCAACUAUUUCGCGGUAGCUUGUCUAUUGGCAGAACUUACUUCAUUUGGGAGGCAAUUUCUAAAUUUUCUAUUCUUUUUGGUUUUUUCAAAUCUUUUCUGCUAUUUAAUUGCAUUGUAUUAUUCUAAGUCAAGCAUGGGCAUACAAGCAUCUUUCUUUUACUAAUCCCACUUUGAGAGCAUCAUGACUGGAUUUAUUUCCAAUGGGACUUCAUUGGCGUGGCACUAAUGUAACUAUCAACAAUUUGAGAUUUCAAUUUAGAGUUACCAGUAUUGAGAUCAUUUCAUUUGAAUAUCGACUUGAACACAGAAACACGGAAAUACGUGUAAAUUUUUUUUUUGUUAAAAAAACUUAAAGUGCAGAAGUUUGGCGCGAUCCUCUUGUCCAUAUUCAAGUUAUUCUUUUUCAUGUUAAUAAAAGUGUUGGCCCAUUAAUUGAAAGCACUUGUACUGGAGUUGAAAAAUCAAUCUUUACAAGUCUUGCUGGGAUUCAACAAAAUGACAACAGAAUGACAUUAUAAAUGGUCUUGUCGCUAAAUUCCAUUGCUAAACCGUUAGUAUGUUGCAUGCUACUUUAUCACGCAAAUUAGCAUUGGAUUAAUAACAGAUUUAUCCAUAAUAUUCCCUGCAUAUUCCUGUUAAAUUGUUGCCUAUUAGUUGCUAAAAUACAUAUAUAUAUAUAUAUGAAAGUUGAAUAGUUAAUAAUAAUUAUAAAAAUUCACUACGUUAUAAAAAUAUAAAAUUAAAGUGCAUCAGCCAUAGUUUAUUAUAUAAUAAAUGUUAAAAUUACAGUGCAUAAACUUUAAUUGACUGCACCACCCGAGUUGGAGGCCUAAUGGUAAAAACAUUGAUAUUCGCCUGCUUGAUAUAGAUUCGAUCCUUCGUAACAGUUCUCACACAUAAAGUCUAACUUGGCAAAAAAUAAAUAUUCAGUCUCUUCGUCUUCUUGAUUAUUUUCACUCUCUAUCAUCUCGUCGUGUUUAUAUUGAGCAAAAAAUUCAUCAUUUAUCAUGAAAUUGUUCACGCAAAAGAAUAAUAAUUAUAUCUCUCUACACAUUAAUAGGUUGUGGAUAUAUUUUUUCCAAUAUUAGAAAUCUUGGUUUCAAAAUGUUCAAUAACAUUCUUAAAUUUAGCAAGGGUGUAGUUAAAAUUUUCUUUUGUAAUAAUAGCAUGCAUAAGAGGAUAUAGAUCGUAUUUUCCUAUAAUUCACAUGUAUUUGUAUAGAUCGUAUUUUCCUAUAAUUUCAUAAACAUAAAAUUAUUAAUAAUUUUAUUAGCAAUUAACAAUUUAUCAAUAUUGAGAGAGUAUUAACUAAAUAUCAUUACGUCACGAUUCUGAACAUAAAAACACGUGUAAAGAUUAAGAAAAGAAAAGAUCAAAGAGUUUGGCAGGAUCCUCCUCUCUAUAUUCAAGCUAUUCUUUUUCAUCUUAAUAAAGCAGUGGUAUUGAAAGUAAUUGAAAGCGCUUGCAUUGGAGUUGAAAAAUCAAUGCUUACAAAUCUUGUUCGCCAUUCAACAAUAUGACAUUAUGACUGAUGUUAUAAAUUAUAAAUUUAACAUAAAAUUUUUUGAGAAGUACAAUCAUAAUCUCUAAUAAGAUUAGUUCUAAAUCUAAAACUAAUGAUAUAAGUCGAUUAUUCAAUCGUAACAAAAAAUAAUUUAUGCAAAUUGUGAGAUCUUAUGUGCUUAUUUAUACAUAUUUAAACUAAAUAAAUCUAUAUAAAAAAUAACUAAAUUUGUUUUUAUAUAUAAGAACUAAUUAAUUAAAAUAACCAGCUAAAACUAUGUAAAAACUACUGCAAUUAAGGUUUGAUCUUAUGUCAAUUAACCUGAGCAAUAACAACGAUACCACCAAACUAAUAAAUUUACAAUAAACAUUUGCACAUUAUAAAAUAAAUUUUCAAAUUCGGGGGGGCUGGUGAGUAAAUGAAACCGAGCACAAAAACAAGAAAAUACCCGCGAGGUAUUCCUUUUCUCUCUCUUCGUCUUCAAGAAGCCUCUCCUCUGCAAUCACCGCACAAGAGGUGUUAGUUUUUCUUUUAUUUAUUUAUUUAUUUAUUUUUUACAGAAUCUAAAGGAAGAAGAUAAUGGUGAGAUUUUAAGACAUUGGGGGAUAGAGAUUGGACAAUAGUUGGGAAUUUUAUAGGUCCUGGCCUCAAAAUUGACUUUUAAAAAUAUUCUUAUAUGUUAACUAGGCCAAAACUUGAGCUCAAGUUUUGUUCUUCUUUUAUAAAAUUGAACCUAUUAUCCUAUUACACUGUAUAUAUAUCAAACUACAUAACCGUACCCCACCAUAAUAUUGUUCUUGAUUUUUAGAAAUCAAUGCUUCCCGAAAGUAUUUGAUCUGCUUGAUUAAUCCAAUUCAAUAUCAUAAUUGAUAAGCGGAAAAUUAGACUAUACAAGCGCAAGAAACUUUAAGUUUCUGUAAUAUUAUAAGUUAACCACUCCGAUCAAUAUUCAGACAAUAUAAUCUUUUCAAAAAAAAAAAAAAUAUUCAGACAAUAUAAAAAGAGAAAAAGGUUAAUUAGUUUUCAGAAAACAGCAAUAAAAAAGAAUAACAACGCGGCCAUGGCAAAAGCAAAGCUGAGUAGCAGAGAGAAAAGAUGGUCUCUCAAGGGAAACACUUCUCUCGUUAUAGGAGGAACCAAAGGCAUAGGGUAAAGCUUAUUUACUUAAUCGUUUAUUUUCCUCUCUUCUUUCAUUCCAUGCUUAUAUUAGUUUUCUUUGGAGUUCAGACAUGCUAUAGUAGAAGAAUUAGCAGAAUUUGGGGCAGCUGUGCACACUGUUCUCGCAGCCAAAAAGAGCUUGAUGGGUGUUUACAAGAAUGGCAAACCAAAGGUUUCAAAGUAACUGGAUCUGUAUGCGGCGUAUCAAUUCGAGACCAGAGGGAAAAACUUAUAGGCUGUUUCCUCCAUCUUUCAUGAAAAGCUCAACAUUCUUGUAAGUUUUCUUUUUUCUUUCUUAUGUUUCUUUCUUAAUGGUUCAACCGAGGGCAUUCAAGCGUGUGUCUGUUUAAUAGUCCACAUAACCUGAAUAUUCCAUGUUCGCUCCGAGAGGCAUGGGAGCUGGCCUAUGGAGAAAUUAAUAUUUAAAAAGAAUUAUUUUAACUGAAAUUGAAACUCACAAUCUUACAUCUGCUUAAUUAGGUUAACAACGCUGGGACACAUAGAUUUAAAGAAGCCUUAAAGGAUACUGCUGAAGACAUUUCGACGGUUAUGAGUACAAAUUGUGAGUCUGCAUAUCAUCUAAGUCAGCUUUCGCAUCCUCUCUUAAAGGUAUGAUUGCUUUCCCUUCCAUUGCAAAUAUCUCUUCCAUUGCAAGCAUCAUUGCUUUUCCUUUUUGUGCUGUCUAUGCAGCAUCCAAAGAUAUGAUUUUAUGCUUCUUUUCCCCUUUUACUUUCAAUAUGGCAAACUGACACUAUUGUUAGGACUGCGUAGCAUGUCCUAUUAAUAACCUUUUGAAUUGACAAAAAUUAAUUAUACAUAUGAUUAGUGUAUACUUUUCUUUUUUUUAAUAGAUAUGAUUAAUAAGAAUAUUUUAAUUACAGUGUAAAAAUAUAACUUCAGAGCAUUCCCUUUCCAAGUAAAUUUCGCUAUGUUAUCCAUACCAAAUGAAAAAAAAAAAGAAAAAAAAUAUAAAACAUUAAGCUUAAAAUAUAGAGUUAUUUUAUUUAUUUGCAAUUAAAGAUGUUGGUUUUAUUUUUUGAAGAAAAUGAAAUCAUAUUUCAUUAAAUUAGAAAGAAAUACGUAUCUAAGAUGUAGUCAUACAUAUCAAUAAAUUAAUAUAUUUUUGCAUAAAUAACUUAAAUAUUAAACAGUUAUAGAAAAACAAUUAGUUCGAUUUAAGGGAUACAGAAAACAAUAAUCAUUUGAGGGAUACAUGUAGAAAUGUUGAUUUGAUUAAUUGGAAAAAUGGACGAUUUGCAGGAGCAAUGGAGCAAAUUACAAAAAAUUUGGCAUGUUAGUGGGCAGAGGACAAUAUUCGAGUUAAUGCAACUGUACCAGGAUUUAUUCAUACCCCUCUCGCAAAUUAUGCACAGUUUUUUUCAAUUUCAAUAUAUAUAUAGUAUAGACAAUAGUUAUUAAGUAUUUAAAUGAAUAAAAAAAAUCAAUUUUUUUUCUCAAUUUUGAUUAAUCAAAUCACAAACUAUUUUACAUGUAUAAAUAUUGAAUUAAUUAACAUCGUCCUCUUUUACAUGAAUCUACAUUGAUUUCACUCGUCGCAUUCCCCUCUCUCGAGGAGGAAACCCUAAUGAGGCAUCAUCAGUACUGGUAUUCCUUUGUUUACCUGCUUCUUCAUAUAUCCCUGGCCAAGUUAUAAUUGUGGAUGGAGGACACACUGUGAAUGGCUUCUAAGUUUUACCCAAAUAAUAAAAACUAAAUAAAUGUUUUGUGGUGUCCUAAAUUAGACUAUAUAUAAUUUAAUAGUUGAUUUUAUUUAUAUAAAGUUCCAAUUUGUAGGAAAAUCAGAUAUAUCUAUGUAGUAUCUUUAUUCCCUUAUGGGGAUAAUGAGAAAAUAAAUAAUAAUAAUGAUAAUAAAUUAUUUUUUAUAAUUUUAUUACAAACUUUCAAUUUCGAAAAUUUUUUGCAUAGAAUUUAAAAUUUUCAUAAUAUUAUUGUGAAGUUACCUUUAGUAUAUUAUGUUCUUUACCAUGAGCUGCUGUUCUAGGAAACAGUAGAUAGUGCCAAAGGUGUUUGUCAAAAUUUUCUUUGAUUUCAAUUGAUGGAAAACAAAAAUACAAUGGAAGCCAUAAGAUCUCGCAUAUAUAUAAUACACAGGCAAACCACAGAGCUACAGAAAAUAUAAAAUCGAAGUUAUGAAAUCAUAAAUACCUCUUAAGCGAAAGAAAUCAACACUGAUUUCGAUUUUUCUUCCAUGCAAUAGCUUAUGUGCUAACAGCUUCUGCUCUACCGAAAACACACUAGUUUUCUCUGCAAUCUCCUGUUAUGUGACCUAAGCUAUUUCUUUAGAACUGUUUGUGUGGACAGACGACUAUUGAGAGAGGAAAAAUGAAAUAUGGGAGACUGACGUCUACGUUUAGUCUAAACGUCUCUUAUAUAUUUUCCUAAAAUUAACAUUAACAAAAACGAUAUAUAUAUAUAUAUAUAUAUAUAUAUAUAUAGGAGAAAAAUAAAUAAAGUGUUUACAUACACUCACAACCCUCUAUCCAAGAAUACCCGAAAAAUUAAGCUUAAUUUUUCUUCUUGGAUAAUCUCUCUAUUUUUCUCUCUUACAAUUGCUCUCUCACAAUUGCACUCUCAUUUACUAAUCUACAUUUUUGCUGUGUAUUUGUGAGCUGCUAACUUUUCCUAUUUAUAGGAGAAGAGGAUGUCUAAAAUUCUGCGUCCACUGCCUAACUUUCUGAACCUGUGUGCUUCUUUUCCUUUGCAACCCACCAAUAUUCUGCGUCCACUGCCUAACUUUCCAAAGUCGUGUGCUUCUUUUCCUUUGCAACCCACCAAUUUAAAAUUUCUUCUGAUUCAAGUGGGCACACCACAACUUAACUUUGACAAUCUCCCACUUGAAGACUGAUUUCAAUCUGUCUUCACACAUCAAUCAUGUGGUAAUCUUCUCAGGUCUAUUAUUCUUACAGGUCAACUGAAAUUGAGCACAACUUCAGUUUGUCAAUGGUCACCACCUUUGUUAACAUGUCAGCUGGAUUCUUUGUCAAAUGUAUUGCACUCUGACUAUCACUAUACAAAACAUUCUUUUCCUGCAUGAAUCUCAACUCUGUCAGCAAGCCUUGAAGCCAUAUCAUCUCUUUGUUGGCUUCUGUCACUGCGACAUACUCGGCUUCUGUCGUGGAUAGAGCUACAAUCGUUUGUACCUGUGAUAUCCAACAACAGUUGUAGUACCAACAGUGAAAAUAAAACCUGUGGUGCUUCUUCGGUGAUCAACGUCACCUCUAUAGUCCGCAUCUACAUAACCUUGUACUUUUAGUUCUCCUUUACCAAAGUACAAACUCUUCUCAGUAGUGCCUCGUAAAUGCCUCAAAAUCCACUUUACUGCUUCCCAAUGAGCUUUCCCUGGAUUUGACAUAUACUUGCUAACAACUCCCACUGCAUGGCCAAUAUCUGGUCUCGUACAGCCCAUCGCAUAAAUCAAACUUCCUAUGGCUGAAGCAUAAGGCAUUUUGGCCAUGUCUUUUCUCUCUUCUUCUGUCUGAGGGGACUGGUCCUUAGAUAGGCGAAAAUGGCUAGCCAAGGGUGUGCUGAUCGGCCUAUCUUCGUGCAUGUUGAAUCUUUGCAAUACACGAUUGAUGUUCUCCGCCUGAGAUAACUGCAACACCUGUUUUUGCUUAUCUCUCGUGAUUUGCAUUCCAAGAAUCUUUUUCGCUGGACCCAAGUCCUUCAUGUCAAAUUCUUUUGACAAUCGCUUCUUNNNNNNNNNNNNNNNNNNNNNNNNNNNNNNNNNNNNNNNNNNNNNNNNNNNNNNNNNNNNNNNNNNNNNNNNNNNNNNNNNNNNNNNNNNNNNNNNNNNNNNNNNNNNNNNNNNNNNNNNNNNNNNNNNNNNNNNNNNNNNNNNNNNNNNNNNNNNNNNNNNNNNNNNNNNNNNNNNNNNNNNNNNNNNNNNNNNNNNNNNNNNNNNNNNNNNNNNNNNNNNNNAAGAAUCCUUCUAGUUGGUACAUGUAUAUCUCCUUAUCCAAGUCUCAGUGAAGAAACGCCGUCUUUACGUCCAACUGCUCAAGGUAGAGCCCUUCACUGGCAACAAUACUCAACACAGACCUGAUAGUAUUGAGUUUUACAACUGGUGCAAAUAUGUCGGUGUAGUCAACUCCUUCCUUCUGCUGGAACCCUUUGACUACCAGUCGAGCUUUGUAUCUCUUGGAACCAUCAUGUUACUUUGAGUCGCCUGGCAUCUGGACUUUCUGAGAUAUCAUUCACCUCUGCAAACACUAGCCCACUCUGCUCUGAGUCGCUGGACACUGGACUUUCUAAGAUAUCGUCCACAUCUGCAAACACUGGCCCACUCUGCUCUGAGUUGCUGGCCACAGGACUUUCUGAGAUAUCAUCCACCUCUACAAACACUGGCCCACUCUGCUCUGAGUCGCUGGCCACUUUGCUAUGUUUAUCAUCCACCUCUGCAAACACUGGCCCACUCUGCUCUGAGUCGCUGGCCACUUUGCUAUGUUUAUCAUCCACCUCUGCAAACACUGGCCCACUCUGCUCUGAGUCGCUGGCCACUUUGCUAUGUUUAUCAUCCACCUCUGCAAACACUGGCCCACUCUGCUCUGAGUCGCUGGCCACUGGACUUUCUGAGAUAUCGUCCACCUCUGCAAACACUGGCUCACUCUGCUCUAAGUCGCUAGCAACUGGACUUUCUGAUAUAUCGUCCACCUCUAAAAACACUCAAAGUGUCUUCGGAGAGUUUCGCAUGCAUCAGUAUAGCUUUCGGUCUUUAGCUACCACAAAUGGACCUUUUGUGAGCUUGUACUGACCAUUUCUGAAGGUGCUACAGAAACCUUCAUCAUCAAAUCUGCUAACCGAGAUUUGGACGCAUGCUCGAAAGCCCAUUCCUCAUCAGUCUUGUCUUCCGAUUUAGUUCAACUAAACACAGGCAAAUACAUUUUUAUUACCAUAAGGAGAUAUCUCAUUUCUCCAUAUAUGGUAAAUUUCGCCAUUUAGACUGAUCAUUUUGCUUGUCCAUUUUGACUUGCACAGAAAAUCAUCACCAACAUAAACCGUAUACGUGAACAGUAGUAUACAUAAAUAGUGACCAUAAAUAGUAACAGCCUACUCGAAUAGUAACUGUACGUGAAUAAUAACUGUACACGUGAAUAGUACUAUGCGUGAAAAUAGUGUUGGGCUUACUUGAAACGGGCUCAGCAGUAAUGCCAAUAGUACUGUUCACCACCAACUUUGCGUUACUAAUUUACUAUUCAUCACUAAGUCGAUUCUGCAACGACUUUCCGAGCGAACAACACCAAUAGACUCGUCGUAAUUUUCUCGUCGUCGUGGUAUAUUUAUUUUCAAAGUAUAUCCACGGAUCCGGUACCGCUAUCUGACCGGCUGGACCUACCGAAACCUUUGGCUCUGAUACCAGUUGUUAGGCAUCAGCUCUGAUACCAGUUGUUGGGGAAAAAUUACGCAAAAUCCCCGAUAAGCCAAACGAGGGAGCAAAAGAAAAUAAUAACACACACAAUUUGAUAACGGAGUUCGGCCAAUCUUACUUACGUCUCCGGACUGCUGCAGAUCUUUUAUAGGAGAAAAAUAAAUAAAGUGUUUACAUAUCCUCCCACCCCUCUAUCCAAGAAUACCUGAAAAAUUAGGCUUAAUUUUUCUUCUUGGAUAAUCUCUCUAUUUUUCUCUCUUACAAUUGCACUCUCAUUUACUGAUCUACAUUUUUGCUGUGUAUUUGUGAGCUGCUAACUUUUCCUAUUGAUAGGAGAAGAGGAUGUGUAAAAAUCUGCGGCCACUGCCUAACUUUCCAAAGCCGUCUGCUUCUUUUCCUUUGCAACCCACCAAUAUUCUGCGUCUACUGCCUAACUUUCUAUAGCCGUGUGCUUCUUUUCCUUGGAAACCCACCAAUUUAAAAUUUCUUCUGAUUUAAGUGGGUAUACCACAACCUAACUUUGACAUGACAAUCUUAACAUCAAUCAUUUCCUAAAUUAGACGAUAUAGGAUCCCUAAAAUUAUGUUAAAUUGUUUAUAAAUUAUCUAUAAGAUAAGAGUUGUAGUGCUUAUCCAUUGUCGAUGAGAUAGAGAGCUUGUGACAAUCAAUUGUGCGUUCUAAUUAAACUUCUAGAAAUAUCUGUUUAAUGCCAGUGUCGGUGGCUUAGUGCGCUGUAUAUAGGCCGAUCUUGAACCAAUUACUGUAGGCCGAAUUAGUGGCAAGUCAAUAAUCUGACAAAAAAAAGAAAAAAAAAAAAGAAAAAGACGCAAAGGCCAAAAUUGAAAUAAUAAAAAAAAUAUUAUAACCACUUCAAUCAAGAUUCUCUUUAAAAAAGAAAAGAAAAGAAAAUAUCAAUCAGUUAUUGAAGAAGAAAGACAUGGCAAAAGCAGAAAUGAAUAGCAGAGGGAAAAGAUGGUCUCUCGAGGGAAAGACUGCUCUUGUCACUGGAGGAACCAAAGGCAUAGGGUAUUUCUAAUUUACUUAUUCUUUCAUUUUCCUCUCUUCUUUCAUUUCAUGCUUAUAUUAGUUUCCUUUGGAGUACUUUAGACAUGCCAUUGUUGAAGAAUUAGCAGAAUUUGGGGCAGUUGUGCACACAUGUUCUCGCAACCAAAAAGAGCUUGAUCAGUGUUUACAAGAAUGGCAAAGCAAAGGCUUCAAAGUAACUGGAUCUGUAUGCGACGUAUCAAAUCGAACCCAAAGGGAAAAGCUUAUAGAUGUAGUUUCCUCCAUCUUUGAUGGAAAGCUUAACAUUCUUGUAAGUUUUCUUCUUUUUUUCUUUCUGAUGUUUCUCUUUUAAUGGUUUAACCAAGUGGAUAAGUUUUCUUGUUCCGUCUCAAUCUCAUUUUUUAAAUAAAUAAUUUUUCGAUAUAUUAAUUUUUUUUCCGCAGUUAUGUGGAUUUUUAUUGAAAUAUUAAAAAGAGCCAUUUUAAUUAAAAUUGGAAAUUGGAACUGACAGUCCUACAUAUGCUUAAUUAGGUCAACAACGCAGGGACAUGUAAAUUUAAAGAAGCCUUAAAGGAUACUGCUGAAGACAUUUCGACCAUUAUGAGUACCAAUUUUGAGUCAGCAUAUCAUCUAAGUCAGCUUUCGCAUCCUCUCUUAAAGGCAUCAGAAUAUGGAAAUAUUGUAAAUAUCUCUUCCAUUACAAGCAUUGUUGCUUUGCCUCUUUGCACUAUCUAUGCAGCAUCCAAAGGUAUGAUAUUAUGCUUCUUUUGCCCUUUUACUUAUACAUGAUACAUAAUAAUAUAAUUAUGUCUUUCGGCCAUAACUUUAUAUUAUAGCAGUAAUUAUUGAUAAAAUUUUACCAUAUAAUAAAUAUUUAUUACUAAUAGCUAUCAGCUACUGGCCACCACAUAUUAAUUAUUAGCUAACACAAACUGAUCUUCAGUACUUAUUGAAAAUUUUGUUAAAAUUGAUCUAUUUGCUAUUUAAAAAACAUAACAGUAAGCUUGUCGUACGCAGUUAACUAUUUGCUGUUCACUUGAUUAAUUGAUAAGAUGGAUGAUUUGCAGGAGCGAUGCAGCAAAUUACAAAAAAUUUGGCAUGUGAAUGGGCAAAUGACAUGAUUCGAGUUAAUGCAGUUUUACCAGGACUUACAGAUACCCCCCUCUUAGAUCUUGCAAAGGUUUUUCUAUUAAUCAGUUUUUAAUAAUUAAAUAUUUAAAAGAUGAAAAAGCAAAUUUUUACUCAAUUGUGAUUAAUGAAAGUGAAAUAGUUUUGACAUAUGAAUAUUGAAUCAGUUAAUAUUUUUCUCUUUUAUAGAAAAGUUGGGAUAAUCCUGAAGUUGAGGAGAGGAACCAAAGGCAUAGGGUAUUUCUAAUUUACUUAUUCUUUCAUUUUCCUCUCUUCUUUCAUUUCAUGCUUAUAUUAGUUUCCUUUGGAGUACUUUAGACAUGCCAUUGUUGAAGAAUUAGCAGAAUUUGGGGCAGUUGUGCACACAUGUUCUCGCAACCAAAAAGAGCUUGAUCAGUGUUUACAAGAAUGGCAAAGCAAAGGCUUCAAAGUAACUGGAUCUGUAUGCGACGUAUCAAAUCGAACCCAAAGGGAAAAGCUUAUAGAUGUAGUUUCCUCCAUCUUUGAUGGAAAGCUUAACAUUCUUGUAAGUUUUCUUCUUUUUUUCUUUCUGAUGUUUCUCUUUUAAUGGUUUAACCAAGUGGAUAAGUUUUCUUGUUCCGUCUCAAUCUCAUUUUUUAAAUAAAUAAUUUUUCGAUAUAUUAAUUUUUUUUCCGCAGUUAUGUGGAUUUUUAUUGAAAUAUUAAAAAGCGCCAUUUUAAUUAAAAUUGGAAAUUGGAACUGACAGUCCUACAUAUGCUUAAUUAGGUCAACAACGCAGGGAGAAAUACAUUUAAAGAAGCCUUAAAGGAUACUGCUGAAGACAUUUCGACCAUUAUGAGUACCAAUUUUGAGUCAGCAUAUCAUCUAAGUCAGCUUUCGCAUCCUCUCUUAAAGGCAUCAGAAUAUGGAAAUAUUGUAAAUAUCUCUUCCAUUACAAGCAUUGUUGCUUUGCCUCUUUGCACUAUCUAUGCAGCAUCCAAAGGUAUGAUAUUAUGCUUCUUUUGCCCUUUUACUUAUACAUGAUACAUAAUAAUAUAAUUAUGUCUUUCGGCCAUAACUUUAUAUUAUAGCAGUAAUUAUUGAUAAAAUUUUACCAUAUAAUAAAUAUUUAUUACUAAUAGCUAUCAGCUACUGAUCUUUAGUUUUACUUAUUGAAAAUUUUGUUAAAAUUGAUCUAUUUGCUAUUUAAAAAACAUAACAGUAAGCUUGUCGUACGCAGUUAACUAUUUGCUGUUCACUUGAUUAAUUGAUAAGAUGGAUGAUUUGCAGGAGCGAUGCAGCAAAUUACAAAAAAUUUGGCAUGUGAAUGGGCAAAUGACAUGAUUCGAGUUAAUGCAGUUUUACCAGGAUUUACAGAUACCCCUCUCUUAGAUUUUGCAAAGGUUUUUCUAUUAAACAGUUUUUAAUAAUUAAAUAUUUAAAAGAUAAAAAAAGCAAAUUUUUUCUCAUUUGUGAUUAAUCAAAGUGAAAUAGUUUUACAUAUGAAUAUUGAAUCAGUUAAUAUUUUGCUCUUUUAUAGAAAAGUUGGGAUAAUCCUGAAGUUGAGGAGCAAAUGACUCGUAGUAUCCCUCUCUCUCGAGAAGGAAAACCUGAAGAGAUAGCAUCAGUGGUGACAUUCCUUUGUUUACCUGCUUCUGCAUAUAUCACUGGCCAAAUUAUAAUUGCUGAUGGAGGAUGUACUGUGAGUCGCUUCUAAAUUUUUCCCAAAUAAUAAAAACAAAAUAGUAAUUAUUUUUGUUGUAUUCUGAAUUAGACAAUAUCUAUUUUAGUAAUUAAAAACAUUUAAAUAAAGUUUCAAUCUGUGGAGAAACCAUAUGUAACGUGCUAAUCUAUUACUAGAAGUGUUAAUUUAAAUUGGAAUUAUGCAUCUUUUGUGAUGGAAUCAACUUGGCUUGCUUUUUCAUGCACAAGAAGAAAACAAUUGGAAUUUUAGGUUAGACAAGCACAUUUACCACCAGUAUGUUUCAGGCUUGCUACUGUAUUUUUAUCUAUUCAAUGUCUAGUUUGGUACUUUUAUUUUUUUUAAAAAAUAUUCUAUUCACAAAUUACUAUUUUAUUAAUAGAAAAUUCAUUCGAUUAAUACAUGUAAACUAUAUUUUGGGAUAUAUUUAAAAUAAUUUUAUAAGUAUAGUAGGAGAACAAAAUUAUCCUAAAGCUAUUGCGCUCUUAAAUUUAUUUUUAUUUUUUAAUAUUAGAGAAUUUUGUAAGAAAAAUAUAUAAUUCACAUUUUUGUUUGUUUGCUCAUUUUUUGCUAUAAAAAUAUUGAAUCCACAAUAAGAUAAAAUAAUUUUUAUGCUUCUAAAUUUCUCAAAUUUUAUUUAUUAAGUGAUAUAAAUUUUUAAUAAUUUAUCAAUUACCUUCAUAAAUUGCUCAUGAAUCUUUUAAUUCUAGUAAAAAAAAAUUCUUAAAGUGAAAAAAAAAUUAAAAUGGUCAAUAGAACAAUUUUUUUUUUUUUUUUUUUGUAAUCAUAUUCAUAUAUAUUGUUGCAACACAAUAAAGGAAUAAAAUCAACCAUUAAUAGUUUUCUACUUAUUAAUAACUAUCAUAUUAAUAGUUUUGCAUCUUUAAUAGCCAAAAUCCAUUUGCAGGGAUAGAAUGUUUAGAACAGAAGCGUCUAGAGAAGGUAAAAAUUGAAUAAAAUAAAAUGAUGAUGGUUUAAAAGACAAUUCACUGUUCGUAUUGUAUUUACCAGUGAAAUGAAUUUUACCGAUCAAUUUGUAUUUACCAUAUUGCUUUACUUUAUUUAUUUUUCUAGAUUAUUACCUUUCUUAUUUUCUUUCUUUUUAUUGAGUAAAUAAAUUUAUUAAGUAAAAUAAUUCAACCAACUACACUUGACUGUAAUUCUUUAAUUAAGACAGUCAAUUACUCAUCCGUUUUGAAAAGAUAGUCCUUUUUUCAUACAGAUUAAAAAAUAUAAAUUAUUAUGAUUAACAGAUAAUUUUAUUACCAUAAAUUUUUUAUUAUAUCCAUUUUUUUUUAAAGGACCAAUUAUACCUAUCUUAAAUACUAAAAACCAUAUUAAUAAUAUAAAAUGGAAAAUAUAAAUUGCAAUUAUUGAGAAUAACUAACAUCGAUAAUCUUUUAAAAUUCAAGAGGAAAAAAAAAUAGAAAAACAAAACUACUUAUUAAAUAAUAUACGAAUUUAAAGGGAAAUGACUUACGAAAAAUAAUAAAUUAACUGGGAUUACUAAAAAUAAGAUAAAACUUAAUAAGGAUAUAAUAAAUAAUUUAACUAUAUAUAGAAAAAGUAAGUGGAUUAUAAUUUGGGAUAGACCAAAAUUGAAAGAUAGAUUAUCUUUUUAGGCAAAGGAGUAUGAAUUAUUUCUCUUGAAAUACUAAAAAUAAGAAAAUUAAAAAGUUUAAAUACUACAAAUGUAAUUAACUUUUUUAUUUUUAAUUAAGGCCAAUACAGCUUUCGUUUUUUAAAAUCAUGUGAGAGUCGUAUGAAUCCACUCCUUAGCUUUGUAGAAUAAACUUUCUGCUUUCAUUUUCAAAAUUGAAAAAAAACGAAAAACAAGUGGAGAAUCUGAUUUUCUGAUUAGGCUGUUAUUCUGAUUAGGCUGUUACUACUGUACAGAUAGUUUAUUCUGUAUUGAUACAGAAUCUUCAUUAAUUGACACAUGCAUUAAAGAAAACUAUUGUAAUAGGUUACUCAACUUGUUGCUCUAUUCUUUAUCUAUAUGUUUCCUAACUUUAUCUUUUCUUUAUCCAUAUCUAUUUUCUAUCCUAUAACAUAUUAUAUAAAAUAUUAUCUAACGAUAAAUAUAAAAUUAUCUAGAAAAAAAUUAGAAUUCAAAUUCAUGCACAUAAAAUUUUUCUUCUAGUGUUAUUAAUUUUUUUUAAAAUAAAAUUAUUGCUUAUCAUUUGAAAUCGUGUAUAUAAAAUAUCAUAUAUUUUUCUUCAUAUUUCUUGCGCUAUGCAAGCUGUUUUUCCUGCAAUUGCAUGAGCGCAUUAAUGUUAACUUCUCAUCUCUCCUCUAUAAAGCACGGUUUGUAAAUUCUCUUUCUUGUGGGUAAUGAAGACUUGAUUGACGAUGCUCUGCAGUGAAAGCUGAGGAGGAACCAUGAAUAUCCUUUGCUGGAAUUGUCGAGGACUAGGUAACCAUCGAGCAGUUAAUGCUCUCCAUGAACUUAUUCGAUGCCAUAAGCCGACGGUCAUUUUUAUGUCUGAAACCUUAGUUACUUCGAGUAAAAUUGAGCAGCUCCGAUAUAGCCUUCAUUAUGACUGCUGUUUUGCUGUGGACGCGGUGGGGCACAGUGGUGGUUUAGCUAUUUUAUGGAAUACUCAGAUAAAUUUAGAAGUUAUGCGUUAUUGUUCGCAUUUUAUUGAUAUGAAAAUAACAGAAGCUGCAGGUUUUACAUGGCGCCUCACGGGUUUUUAUCGCAUGCCGGAACGACACCGUAGGCAAAUUUCAUGGAAUGUCCUCCGUUCUCUAGCUCGGCUGACAAAUCUUCCCUGGCUAAUUUGUGGAGACUUUAAUGACCUAAUGUUCGCUGAAGAAAAGAAAGGGCGUAAUCCUCAUCCUCCAUGUUUAUUACAGGGUUUCUCGAAUACUGUGGCUGACUGUGGUCUGAUUGACUUGGGAAUGUCGGGAUAUCCUUUUACUUGGGCUCAUGGUAGAGGUCAACAUCGGAUAGAGGAAUGAUUGGACAGAGCUUUGGGAAAUAUCAUUUGGCAGAACCACUUUCCUAAUUAUCAGGUCCAGAAUUUAGUCUCGAGUAAGUCCGAUCACUCUCCUCUUCUUAUUCUUACUGCCCCUAGUAUAAAAAAUAUGAGGCAUCAUCGCUUUCGGUUUGAGAAUUUUUGGUUAGAGGAAUCUGAUGUGGACACUGUGGUUAGAGAGAGUUGGACCAGUUAUGACGGUGUUGAUGCAACGGGGAAGAUAAAGGUUUGUGGACAUCAUCUACAGAACUGGGGCAGGAGACUAAAGCUUCGAUUCAGACAGGAAGCCAAGCAGUUGACAGUGCAGCUUGAGAAUCUUCGGAUCAANNNNNNNNNNNNNNNNNNNNNNNNNNNNNNNNNNNNNNNNNNNNNNNNNNNNNNNNNNNNNNNNNNNNNNNNNNNNNNNNNNNNNNNNNNNNNNNNNNNNNNNNNNNNNNNNNNNNNNNNNNNNNNNNNNNNNNNNNNNNNNNNNNNNNNNNNNNNNNNNNNNNNNNNNNNNNNNNNNNNNNNNNNNNNNNNNNNNNNNNNNNNNNNNNNNNNNNNNNNNNNNNNNNNNNNNNNNNNNNNNNNNNNNNNNNNNNNNNNNNNNNNNNNNNNNNNNNNNNNNNNNNNNNNNNNNNNNNNNNNNNNNNNNNNNNNNNNNNNNNNNNNNNNNNNNNNNNNNNNNNNNNNNNNNNNNNNNNNNNNNNNNNNNNNNNNNNNNNNNNNNNNNNNNNNNNNNNNNNNNNNNNNNNNNNNNNNNNNNNNNNNNNNNNNNNNNNNNNNNNNNNNNNNNNNNNNNNNNNNNNNNNNNNNNNNNNNNNNNNNNNNNNNNNNNNNNNNNNNNNNNNNNNNNNNNNNNNNNNNNNNNNNNNNNNNNNNNNNNNNNNNNNNNNNNNNNNNNNNNNNNNNNNNNNNNNNNNNNNNNNNNNNNNNNNNNNNNNNNNNNNNNNNNNNNNNNNNNNNNNNNNNNNNNNNNNNNNNNNNNNNNNNNNNNNNNNNNNNNNNNNNNNNNNNNNNNNNNNNNNNNNNNNNNNNNNNNNNNNNNNNNNNNNNNNNNNNNNNNNNNNNNNNNNNNNNNNNNNNNNNNNNNNNNNNNNNNNNNNNNNNNNNNNNNNNNNNNNNNNNNNNNNNNNNNNNNNNNNNNNNNNNNNNNNNNNNNNNNNNNNNNNNNNNNNNNNNNNNNNNNNNNNNNNNNNNNNNNNNNNNNNNNNNNNNNNNNNNNNNNNNNNNNNNNNNNNNNNNNNNNNNNNNNNNNNNNNNNNNNNNNNNNNNNNNNNNNNNNNNNNNNNNNNNNNNNNNNNNNNNNNNNNNNNNNNNNNNNNNNNNNNNNNNNNNNNNNNNNNNNNNNNNNNNNNNNNNNNNNNNNNNNNNNNNNNNNNNNNNNNNNNNNNNNNNNNNNNNNNNNNNNNNNNNNNNNNNNNNNNNNNNNNNNNNNNNNNNNNNNNNNNNNNNNNNNNNNNNNNNNNNNNNNNNNNNNNNNNNNNNNNNNNNNNNNNNNNNNNNNNNNNNNNNNNNNNNNNNNNNNNNNNNNNNNNNNNNNNNNNNNNNNNNNNNNNNNNNNNNNNNNNNNNNNNNNNNNNNNNNNNNNNNNNNNNNNNNNNNNNNNNNNNNNNNNNNNNNNNNNNNNNNNNNNNNNNNNNNNNNNNNNNNNNNNNNNNNNNNNNNNNNNNNNNNNNNNNNNNNNNNNNNNNNNNNNNNNNNNNNNNNNNNNNNNNNNNNNNNNNNNNNNNNNNNNNNNNNNNNNNNNNNNNNNNNNNNNNNNUCUAUCCAAAACGGGUAAAGAGGUGCUCAUAAAGUCUGUGGCACAAGCUAUUCCUUCAUUCUGUAUGAGUGCUUUCCUUAUACCGGUAUCCAUCUUACAGGAGAUUCAGAGGUUAAUGAAUUCUUACUGGUGGGGAGGAAAGAUGAGAUGGUUAAGUUGGGAAAGGCUGUGUGUAGCGAGGGAAAAAGGAGGUUUAAGCUUCAGACAUUUGCGCAGUUUCAAUCUCGCCAUGCUAGGAAAACACUGUUGGCGGCUUUUGCAUAACACAAAUUCUCUUCUUUAUAGUUCUUUCAAAUCUAAAUAUUUCCCAAGUGGGAAUUUCCUUGGUGCAGGCAUUGGCCGUAAUCCAAGUUUUGUAUGGAGAGGAAUUUGUGCAGCUAAGGAUGCUAUUCGUUCAGGUUUUCGGUGGAGAAUUGGAGAUGGUCAGUCAGUAAAUGUUUGGACCGAGCCAUGGCUAUUGAGGGAUAACCAGCUCCGCAUUAACUUGCCUAUUCUUCCUGGUUUUGAGCAUAUAAGGGUUUCAGACCUUAUUUUGCAACAAGGGGAACGUGCUUGGAAUUUGCCCCUGAUACAAGGUCUUUUCAAUUCUUCAAUUGCUGAACUUAUUGCUUCCAUUCCUUUAGCUACAAAUAUUCAGGAAGACACCCUUAUAUGGCACUGGACAGACUCAGGGAUAUAUUCUGUGAAAUCUGGUUACAAAAUAGUAGCAUCUCAAUGUGUGGAUAUUGAAGAUAAUUUGCAGUCCAAUUUUUGGAAAGCUCUUUGGUCUCUGAAAAUUCCGCCGAAAGUGAGGCAUUUCCUCUGGAGGUGCUGCCGAGACAUUCUGCCAGUUAAAACAACUUUGGAAAGAAGGGGAAUGGAGCUUGAUACAAGAUGCGAUUAUUGUGGUGUUGCUGAAACGUUAGCCCAUGCUCUUGUUGAGUGUCCAAAAGCAAGAUUUAGUUGGCAGUUUUUUGGUGUUCAACCAAAUAUUGGCAAUUUUCCAAAUUUCUUACAGAUGUUCGAACACUUGCACAAGGUGUGGGAAAGCGACUUUUUUGAGAGUUUUAUUAUGGGUCUAUGGAGUAUUUGGCUGAGCCGUAAUGAUCUCAAAUGGAACCAAAUGAAUGUAGGACAUUAUCAUGUGGUUACUAGAGCUAGAAGUCUGCACGCAUCUUGCAAGAAAGACCACCUUGCCAGGUUUGUAUCAGCAGCAACGUCUUCCUUGCAUGGAUGCUCUUCUCCAGCAGUAGCAGAAGCUCAGGCGUUAAGAAAUGUAUUAUCCUGGGUGCUGCCGAGCCACCAUACUUUGACGAUUCAGGUUGAGACCGAUUGCCUUCAAGUCUAUCAUGCUAUGAGGAGUUCUGUCCACGACUGGUCCGAGUUUGGUGUUGUCAUCUCUGAAUGUAAGCUACUCUUAGUCCAAUUGCCUAAUGUCAAACUGGCUUGGAUUAGAAGACAAGCAAAUGAUCUAGCUCACGUGUUGGCUAAAUCCGUCCCCAGUGGGGCUUGUUUUCAAACUUGGGAUAGUGUUCCCGAUUGUAUCGCUCGUUUCUUCUCUUAUUAAUAUAAUCCAUAAUUCAAAUGUCAAAAAAAAAAAAAAAUAUAAGAGAAAUUUUACAAAUAUAAAAAAUAGAUAAGUUAUUAUAGGCAUAAAUUUCUUUUAAUUAAGAAAUUUGUAAAAAUAUAUUAAUUACAAAUUCUAUAUUUCAAUUUACAAAUUGAAGGUUAUAAAUUCAUGAUACAUGGACGUUUACAUUAUAUAAAUUCUAAACCAAACAAAUUUUAUUCAAAAGCUAGAUGAUUACAUAACAAUUUAUUUUUAAAAAUUGUAAAAUAUAAUUUACAACUAAAAUAAGAUUGAUCAGAAACUUCAAAAUUAUAUAUAUAUAUACGUGUAAUUUGUUGUUUUUAAAAAUUAAAUAAAUAUUUUUAUAACUAAAUAUACAAUAUGAAUUAUUUUUUAAAAUGUAAAUGAAUUUAAGAUAACAAUCAAUUAGUUAAAAAACAAAAUAGAAGUAAUAAGGUAUAAUUUAUAUAGUUUAAUUUAUACAAUUUGAUAUUAUAUAAGGGUAGAGAUUUAUAAGUCAAACAUUGGAGUUGUAUAAUUUAAUUUUUUAAUUAAAAAAUAUUAUAUUGAAAAAUAAUGAGUUGUCGUGUAUAUAUGAUAUAAUUUAAAUUACAUGACACAAGAUAAAUGUUUUGACAAUAAAAGAAUAGAAAUUUAUAAUUAUUUAUUAAAACUUUAAAUAAUUUAUGUUGAGUAAAUGAAUUUAAAGUGUUGGAAAAUUAUUUAUCUUUGAAUUUUUAUGUUUUAUAGAAUUAUAGUUGUGUCGAAAAUAGUAACUUUUUUUUAAUUUACACAAUUAAAUAAUUUUUAUAUUUUAAUAAUAAAAAACUAAAUGUUCUACUUUUGAUAAUCCAUUCUAUAAGUAACAAGUCAUUCGAUCAAUUUCAAACCUAAUUGUCAAUGUCUAAUUAGUUUAAAUCUAACAAUGAAGAAAGAUUCUGUAUUAAUACAGAAAUUUUUAAAUUUGUACUGUAGUUUUACCCUUCUGAUUAAACGGCACAACCUCCACCAAAAUAAAGAAAAUUAGAAAAAAAAAAAACAGAAAAGCUAGGUUUAUAUAUGAAAUAAACUUGUGCUUUCAUUUCUACAAUCGAAGAAACAAACAGCCAAAAAAUUAGAUUUUUCAAUUUAUCAGUAAAUAUGGUAAACACAUACAGUCUACUCGAAUAGUAACUGUAUGCGUGAAUAGUAACUGUACACGUGAAUAAUACUAUGCGUGAAAAUAGUGUUGGGCUUACUUGAAACGGUCUCAGCAACAGUAAUGCCAAUAGUACUGUUCACCACUAACUUUGUGUUACUAAUUUACUAUUCAUAACUAAGUCGAUUCUGCAACGAAUUUCCGAGCGAAUAGCACCAAUAGACUCGUCUUAAUUUUCUCGUCGUCGUGGUAUAUUUAUUUUCAAAGUAUAUCCACGGAUCCAGUACCGCUAUCUGACCGGCUGGAUCUACCGAAACAUUCGGCUCUGAUACCAGUUGUUAGACAUCAGCUCUGAUACCAGCUAUUGGGCAUCAGCUCUGAUACCAGUUGUUGGGAAAAAAUUACGCAAAAUCCCCGAUAAGUCAGACGAGGGAGCAAAAGAAAAUAAUAACACACACAAUUUGAUAACGAAGUUCGGCCAAUCUUACCUACGUCUCCAGACUGCUGCAGAUCUUUUAUAGGAGAAAAAUAAAUAAAGUGUUUACAUACACUCAUAACCCUCUAUCCAAGAAUCCCCAAAAAAUUAGGCUUACUUUUUCUUCUUGAAUAAUCUCUCUAUUUUUCUCUCUUACAAUUGCUCUCUCACAAUUGCACUCUCAUUUACUGAUCUAUAUUUUUGCUGUGUAUUUAUGAGCUGCUAACUUUUCCUAUUCAUAAGAAAAGAGAAUGUGUAAAAUUCUGCGUCCACUGCCUAACUUUCCAAAGCUGUGUGCUUCUUUUCCUUUGCAACCCACCAAUAUUCUGCAUCCACUGCCUAACUUUCCAAAGUCGUGUGCUUCUUUUCCUUUGCAACCCAUCAAUUUAAAGUUUCUUCUGAUUUAAGUGGGCACACCACAACCUAACUUUGACAUGACCAUCUUAACAUCAAUCAUUUUCUAAAUUAGACGAUACAGAAUCCCUAGAAUUAUGUUAAAUUGUUUAUAAAUUAUCUAUAAGAUAAGAGUUGUACACAGAAAAAAAUUAUAAUGAGAAUUGAAACCUGUUCUUCAAACUUAAAACUCAAUCUAAGAAUUUUUGUGUGGUGUUGAAGUGCUUAUCCAUUGUGGAUGAGAUAGAGAGCUUGUGACAAUCAAUUGUGCGUUCUAAUUAAACUUCUAGAAAUAUCUGUUUAAUGCCCGUGUCGAUGGCUUAGUGCGCUGUAUAUAGGCCGAUCUUGAACCAAUUACUGAAGGCCGAAUUAUUGAGAUGUUAGGACCACGCAGCAAGUCAAUAAUCUGACAAAAAAAAAAAAAAAAAAAAGAAGCAAAGGCCAAAAUUGCCAUGGUCCCCAAUGCCCUAUUGCUGGUUCGGUUCGCUAUAAAAGCACGGACACUACGAUUCGGUUAAAUAUUAUAAGAUUCUCUUUAAAAAAGAAAAGAAAAGAAAAUAUCAAUCAGUUAUUGAAGAAGAAAGACAUGGCAAAAGCAGAAAUGAGUAGCAGAGGGAAAAGAUGGUCUCUCGAGGGAAAGACUGCUCUUGUCACUGGAGGAACCAAAGGCAUAGGGUAUUUCUAAUUUACUUAUUCUUUAAUUUUCCUCUCUUCUUUCAUUUCAUGCUUAUAUUAGUUUCCUUUGGAGUACUUUAGACAUGCCAUUGUUGAAGAAUUAGCAGAAUUUGGGGCAGUUGUGCACACAUGUUCUCGCAACCAAAAAGAGCUUGAUCAGUGUUUACAAGAAUGGCAAAGCAAAGGCUUCAAAGUAACUGGAUCUGUAUGCGACGUAUCAAAUCGAACCCAAAGGGAAAAGCUUAUGGAUGUAGUUUCCUCCAUCUUUGAUGGAAAGCUUAACAUUCUUGUAAGUUUUCUUCUUUUUUUNNNNNNNNNNNNNNNNNNNNNNNNNNNNNNNNNNNNNNNNNNNNNNNNNNNNNNNNNNNNNNNNNNNNNNNNNNNNNNNNNNNNNNNNNNNNNNNNNNNNNNNNNNNNAUUUAAAGAAGCCUUAAAGGAUACUGCUGAAGACAUUUCGACCAUUAUGAGUACCAAUUUUGAGUCAGCAUAUCAUCUAAGUCAGCUUUCGCAUCCUCUCUUAAAGGCAUCAGAAAAUGGAAAUAUUGUAAAUAUCUCUUCCAUUGGAAGCAUUGCUGCUUUCCCUCUUUGUGCUCUCUAUGCAGCAUCCAAAGGUAUGAUAUUAUGCUUUUUUGGCCCUUUUACUUAUACAUGAUACAUAAUAAUAUAAUUAUGUCUUUCGGCCAUAACUUUAUAUUAUAGCAGUAAUUAUUGAUAAAAUUUUACCAUAUAAUAAAUAUUUAUUACUAAUAGCUAUCAGCUACUGAUCUUUAGUUUUACUUAUUGAAAAUUUUGUUAAAAUUGAUCUAUUUGCUAUUUAAAAAACAUAACAGUAAGCUUAUCGUACGCAGUUAAUUAUUUCACUUGAUUAAUUGAUAAGAUGGAUGAUUUGCAGGAGCGAUGCAGCAAAUUACAAAAAAUUUGGCAUGUGAAUGGGCAAAUGACAUGAUUCGAGUUAAUGCAGUUUUACCAGGAAUUCCAGAUGCCCCCCUCUUAUAUCUUGCAAAGGUUUUUCUAUUAAUCAGUUUUUAAUAAUUAAAUAUUUAAAAGAUGAAAAAGCAAAUUUUUACUCAAUUGUGAUUAAUGAAAGUGAAAUAGUUUUGACAUAUGAAUAUUGAAUCAGUUAAUAUUUUUCUCUUUUAUAGAAAAGUUGGGAUAAUCCUGAAGUUGAGGAUCAAAUCACUCGUGGUAUCCCUCUCUCUCGAGAAGGAAAACCUGAAGAGAUUGCAUCAGUGGUGACAUUCCUUUGUUUACCUGCUUCUUCAUAUAUCACUGGCCAAAUUAUAAUUGCUGAUGGAGGAUUUACUGUGAGUCGCUUCUAAAUUUUACCCAAUAAAAAAAAACAAAAUAGUAAUUAUUUUUGUUGUAUUCUGAAUUAGACAAUAUCUAUUUUAGUAAUUAAA